GUAAGAUUGGCGGCAGACAGGACAGUUCGCUUUUAGUGCAAUCUUUACUUGUAAGGGUAUACCAUAGAAAUCAUCCAAACAAAGGAUUUGAGUGUAGUACUAAGUACUGUACAUAUGUAUAUAUACAUCAGAGAGAGAGAGGAAUUACCUUGGGAUGAAUAAAUAUCGACCUAAUAAGCGAGAGGAUUCAAAGUGUAAUUGUUCUAGAACAAAUCAAGGCUAUUUGACACUCCUGCUUAUGUAUCUUGCAUUUUUCUAUUUUCAUCCUUUCGGGGUGCCAGGUCUAUGCGUACUUUAGCAUGAUUCUGGCCGCUCGCCUUGUCUUCCGCUGGUUGUCUUCUUGUGGUUGUUUCAUAUCUUAACCAAACGGACAUGUCUGAGGAAAAUUCCAUCGUUGUCGACCCAACAACGCCCCAUUCAGAAUUCAGACCAACAUUCAAUCUGAUUUUUCCGGGAAAACUUGCAACUCAGUGGGAAGAAAAAAAGGGGGAAGUCAAUGGAACGUAGUGCUUUGAAAAAUGAAACAAGGGUAUAGAACAAAGACCGGUACUAUCGAUGGCUAUCUAUUCACCUUAAGAAGCUGUAAAAGUCGUCUCGUUCCGUGCCAUUUCAAUUUGGGUGUUUCGAGUUUCCUAGUUUUAUGAAUUCUUACAUAAUCGCAUAACCCGUGCCUGCCGGACAGAUUCAUAAGGACCGGCCCCCGGAAUCCACAGCCUUCCUCAUCUAAAACUAAAAAGUUUUUGCCAAUUCAAAGAAGGAAAAAAGCACCACCAUAUUUCACAGAGCACCCAUGAGCUCUAUGGCCUCUGUUCUCUACACAUACAACAUGAAUCCAGAAAAGUAUGAUUUAGCCGAACCCCGAUUUCUUUUCCAGAAAAUGUUCAUCCCCUUCCUCUCCUCAUGUCGAGAAAACCGCCUCGACGAGAGCGUGCUUCUUUUUUGGGUACCCAAGCCCGAACAUGUGAUUCAGAUACACCUUCCCGUCCUUCACUGUGGCGGCGGUCGCCACCCUAUGCGAAGGGCCCUUGAACCUCCCAACAACAGAAGCGCUCUGCCACCCGUCUAGAGACUCUACCAACGUCCCUGAAGGUUUUCCUGCAACCACAAGCUUGGUGGGAGACAGUAACUCCAGACCAUCCCCCAUCCUCAGCGGGCCUCCCAGGACGUCGAUUACCUUCACUUCCUCCCCUCCGUUCGUGACGUCAAUCUUGAAGAGCUUGCCGCUGAAUGUGUGGACGACUAUGAGGUACCCGUCCGGGUGGUAUGCGAUGCCGUUCAGCCCGACCCAGUUUCUGUACCAUCCCUUCGGGAUGAACAGCGGUGAUCGGAUGAUGGAGAGGAGCUCGCCGUCCGGCCCGACCUUCCAGAUUUUGUUUCCUUUGGCGUCAGUCACGUACGCGUUGCCCUCGGGGUCCAAUGCAAUAUCAUCCGCAAAGGUCUUCCCAUCGCCUGCGCCGGUUAGGAAAGCAUCUUCUUAGGAGGACGAGGGUAAACUUGCAGAGGACGUAGAGCAUCAUUGACAAAAGGAUUCACAAUGCAUUUGAUGGAUAUCCUGAUCAGUUCCAUGAAACAAACAAUGUUACAUGCUCUCGAGUUCCCCUAAGUAUCACAUGGGCCCUCCUAUCGUAGCGUAUAUCUUAACAAAGUUGGCUCCUUAAAGAGGAAAAUGUAGUUCCGAGACAAUGAAUGACUAGAUCCAGAAAAUGUAUGAUGGGAACGGCAUUACAUAUAGGAAUGCCAUCUUUGGAAAAUCGAUCGAAUCAUGCAGGAUCUACAUGGCCGAAUCAUAGCAGAAGUGACCUAAUUCGGACCAUUAUCCACUUCAGCUUGAGAUUGAGCACUUGAAUGGAGGAACCAACUACUAAUGACAAGUGACCAAACCUUAACCUUCUUGUCUGUCGAAGACUUAAAAUCUAAUUCAAGACACGGAGGAAGGCCAAGUGACCAUACAUUUAUAUGAUCACAAUUUAGCAACUUAUAUGAUACCACAUGUGAUGAACUGAAUGGCAAAACAGUAAAUUCGAAAGAACCAAAAAAGCCAACAACAAGAAACGGAUCGGGACGGAUUUGGGUACGGGUGGGCAAUGACUCUGGCUACGGUCGUCAAAAUCUCCAAAUUUUCAUGCUGCUAAUGAUUUGCAAUUUUUUUUUUAUGUCAGCAAGAUUUUGGUGCUUGAUGUGUUGUGUGGUGAUGGGAAAGUUGCCCCAUUAUGGAGGGCAAAUAUCUAGGUAUGGCAUUUAUUGAUAACCGUUAGUGUAUUCUUGUAUAUAUUUGCAAGUCUACUUUUUAACUUUGCCGUUACAACCUAGCAAAUCCUCUACACAUGAUUUGAAAGGGACAUAUCAACCACCUUACCCAGACCCAUUGAUUUGACCCGCAAUGAAUUAGCCACGAGUACAAGCUUGUCAAGAAAUAAAAUCCAAACGCAAAAAACUCAACUUCUAUAGUGUUAAUUCGGUGAAAGGAUAGGACAAUUGAUCCGUAUAAUUAUUCUUGUAAACAUUAUGAUAAGGGUCUCGCCAUCAACAUGAAAUUUUCAAUAUAAAUCAUAUAUAUCCGUUCAUUAGUAGGUACAUGAACCUGUUAUCGAAUCCUCACUGAGUUGCCUUACAUGAGGUUGCGGGUGUCUAUGAUACAAUCUAACUAGAGGUUCAUGACACGACUCAAGACGAUAUGAUCCGUUUAGUACCAUGUUAUCGUGCUUUGCAUUUAACCAAUAAAAAAGAUAUUGUUCUAGACUAAGUUCAGAGGAUCCACUAACUACCUCUAGGAUUUCGCCUCAAUUGGGUCACGGCAUGAUUAAAAACCUCAAAUGACAAUUUUUUUUUUCAAAAAUAGAUCGUGUAUAUAAAUAAAUUUUUUUUGGCAAGAUCGAAUUUUCAGGAAAUUAUCUACCGGUUUAAAGGAAAUUUUUGCCGGAUCAUAUCAAAAAGUGUCAUGGCAAUGCCACAAAACCUACUUUUUGCAACAAUCAUUAUAAACCAUUUUUUUUUCUAGAAGUUAGUUUCGAAAAAAGUCUCCGUAUCAUAUAUAUAUAUAUACUCUGGAUAAGAAAUUCAAGAUCUUUAUAUAUAUAUAUAUAUAUAUAUAUAUAUAUAUAUAUAUAUAUAUAUAUAUAUUUCAAGAUCGAGUCCCUUUGCCUAAAAAAAUUAAAUAAAAAUUUAUUUUACACUAUGUGUAUACCCCGAGAAUUUUUAUUUUCAAUGAAACUUAGCUAAUAAUAUCACGAAAAUACUCAGCUUAAAUAAUGUAGCAAUUGAAUACGAGAGAACCCCCGAAAUAUUUUUUCUUAAAAUUAAAAAGGCAUAUUAUGCAUCAAACCAAAAUCUGCAUAUUUUUUCUUUGGGUUAAUAUCUUGAAAAAUUCGAAACUAGUAUACCUUUGUGACAAAUUUACCUUGAUUGACUAUAAAAAACACUAAACUUGUACAUUUAUGACAAAUUUACGCCAAACUAAUUUAUUUGACCGCAAAAAAUCUCAAACUGGUAAAUUUGUAACAAAUAUACAUUCUGUUAAAUUGGAUUAAUACCACAAAAUAAUGACAAAAAUUAUAAACUGUGAUAAAUGGAGUGUAAAAGCCCAAAUUGAUAUACCAAUCAACUGUUAAAUGUCAUUUAGCUUAAUAAUUUGAGAGUAAAAUUUAACGAAAACUAAUAGAAGGUAAAAUUGUUACAAGUGUACCGGUUUGUGGUAAAUUUGUCAAAUGUAUAUCAGUUUGGGGUUUUUGAUGAUAAAAAAGAAUAGUUUAGAGUAAAUUUAUCAUAAAUGUAUCGGUUUGGGGUUUUUUAGGAUAUUAAUCCUUUUUCUUUUUGUGAUAGGCAACUUUUCACAUAUUUUCUCCAUUCAUCACCUCUUUCCAUGACACAGAAAAACAAUAUCAUGCGUAUUUUUUCUUGGAGAUCAUGAUAUCAAUUAAAUCAAUAGAGUUAAACGCAACACGCAAUAACAAAAAGUAAAAAAAAAAGAGAAAAAGGAAGUAAAAAAAAUGUCAGCGUAUAAAACGAUUCGAUUCACUCAAUAAUUUCUCUCCCUCUCUCCAAUUUACUUGGGCCACCGAGUUGCGUGAGGAACGUCCGCUUCCACGUUGACAUAUCGUAGGCCGCCAAGGCGGAGUACUUGUUCCAAAACACGUCGCCGACGGCGACGAGCAGCCGCUCCCUCCCUGCGUCGACGGCGAGCCCGAGGGAGGCGUUCCCGGCGACGUCGGCGUCCUUGAUCACCGUCGUCUCCUCAAGCACGGCGGCGGACGAUGGGGAGUGGUCGUCGGGGACGGGGACCUGGCCGACGCCGCCCUCGAAGAAGGAGACGAGGAAGCGGCGGCCGGGGGCGUCCCACUUGGCGCACUCGCGGAGGAAGCCGGAGCCGUGGUAGUGGAAGACGUGGGUGGAGGGCGGGGAGAGCUCGAGGGCGAUGAGGUAGGCGAAGGGGACGGCGGAGACGAGGAGGAAGGCGGCGAUCAGCUUGGCGGAGCAGAGAGAGCCGGCAUGUUGGGGAGAGACAGAGCAGAGCAGAGGAGAGAGAGUGGAGUUCUGAGGUUUUUGAGCUGGAGUGUCGUGCGUGAGGGGAAUUAAUUGGUGGGGAGUUCGGAAAUUCUGCUUGUUUCUUGUUUGACUUCAAUUUUCAGUUAGUUUAUUAGAUAGUAGCAAUUGUACUAAUGAUCAUAGCAACAACAAAAUAAUAAAAAUAAUACGGCGCAUGCUAGUUCUUCGAAGGGUGAUGUUAUAUCGAAAUCAAUUCAUGUGCAAUUAGCGUCAGACAAUACGAAUGAAAGGAUAAAAGAUCCAUUGUUAAUGAGUGCUCUCCAGGUAAUUAUUGUAUUUAUCAAACAAAAAUAAUCUCAAAUAAGGACUCGAAAUAGCUUCAUUUUCUAAAAAAAAUCUGAAGUGAAGUUUGUUUCAAAUAAGUAUCCGAAAUAGUCAUUUAGUCUCAAAAGAGGACCUGACUCCCUGGCCGGUGAACUGAUGCAUAUUCCGGCGAGCUAAUCAGGAUAUUUUCGUCCAAAAAAUAUUCUCUUUUCAUUUUCCUUUUCCCCUGUUAAUCUUCUCCAUCUGUGAGCAGACCUCCAGUAUCUUGCCGGUGAAGUAAUUGCCGGCGAGAUCGAGCCACUUUAGCUUCUUGAGCCCCGCCAUCUCCAGUGACAGCGGCCCCGUGAACUUGUCAUUGCUCAAGUGGAGUUCUUCGAGCUGGGUUAUCGCCGGCAGGACUUUGCUAGGGAAGAUCCUGGAGAGGUUGAGGAAUCGGAGGGAGGUGGGGCUGCCGAGCUCCGGCGGGAGGGUCCCAGUGAGGUUGUCGAUGGUGAGCAUGAGGUUGACGAGGUCGCGGAGAAGGCCGAUUUUGAGUGGGAUGUAGCUCGAGAGGCCGACGGAUGUGAUGUUGAGAGAGACGACCCACGAGCCAGCAUCGCACGUGACUCUGGUGAAGGAGCAAUGCAGAAAGGGCGGCGGUGAGGAGGAGGAGGAGGAGUCGACCCAGUCGCCGAUGGCAUCGGAGGGAGGCUUGACCAUGGCGGUUUUGAGCUUUGAGAGCACGUCCAGGUCGCUCCGUGCAAGGGAAGCGGAGAUGAAGAGGAGGAAGAAGAAGAAGACUCCAUUGCAGGGCGAUUUCGUCCUCAGUGAGUUCGGCGAGGCCGGCAAGGGCUCACCGACCACUGGUAAGGGCAAGCGAGGACCUGCAAACCCUCGCUUGCUUCCAACGCCUUCUGCCGAGAAUGGGCUUGAGCCCUUGCUGGCCUCAGGUGAGGCCGACCCACGCCGGUCCCAUGACCUUCGUCGGCCCUUUCCCACUUCCGAUGUCCUUGAUUUGGGCAAUGCCUAUCUUCGACGAAGAAGAUGAUGAACAAGGACAACACCAUGGGUAUGUCAAGAAGAAGAUGAACAAAAGAAGGAAAACAAAAAGAUAAUAUUUUUUGAACAAAAAUACCCCAGGCCAGGUUGCCGGAAUACGCAUUGAAAAUGCAUCAGUUUGUCGACCGAAAAGUCAGGUCCUUUUUUUAUACUAAAUGACUACUUUGAGACCUUAUUUGAGAUAAAUUCCACUUCAGGUCCUCUUUUGAGAAAAUAGGGUCACUUUGGAUCCUUAUUUGAAAUUUUCCUUAAUAAUUAAUUAUAUUUUUGAAGUUGCAAAAUCCCGUUGAUUGAUUAUGGUUGAUUUGCCCGGCACCCAUCUUUCAUAAGUUGAAUUGAGAGAUUUGCCAUCGUGAAUUUAUCCAGCACAUUCAAGCGAAAUUUGCAAAAUAAAGAUUUGCUUGCUCAUGAAUUGGAGUUAUAAAUGGCACGUUUAGUAACGCUUUUGUUCUCGGGAAUAAUUUCUUAUUAGAAAUGAUUCUUUUUUAGGGUGACUCUAAACUUUAUCACGGGAAUUUUUUUAAAGCAAAGAUGACCUGAUGGAUUAAGUUGCAACUUUUACACCAAUGUCACAGGAAGAAAUGCCUACAAUAACUCUUCGUAGGAGGGGCAGAACGCGGAAACUCAAAUAUUCCUGGAAGUCUGCUGGUCAUCCUUCGAUUUGGAAAAGAAUCGCAGAUGGUACAAAUCAGUCUUGCAAGCAGUAUACUCCAUGUGGCUGCCAGUUUAUGUGCGGAAAGCAAUGCACCUGUCUACGUAACGGAACUUGCUGCGAAAAGUACUGUGGGUAGGUUAAAUCACAUCUAAAAGUCUUGCUUAAGUUGAUAAAGUGCAUUUAAGCUCAGCUGAAGCUUCCUUAAGAAUUGCAUUUGUCAUGUUGAGGCAUUCCCGAUAUUACACAUCAUGUGCAAAUGUUAUUUGAAAAUCAAAGAAGCGAUACGAGCGAACAAGAGAAUCAAUAUCAGGGUUUUCCUUUCAAUAAUUCUAUGAAUUAGCUCUUUAUGUUGGACUAUGGAAGAAGUGAGCUUCAAUUUUCAGUAACAAUACCUAUGAGAUUUUCAGGUGCUCGAAGAGCAGCAAGAAUCGUUUUAGGGGAUGUCAUUGUGCAAAAAGUCAGUGCAGAAGUAGGCAAUGCCCCUGCUUUGCUGCUGGACGUGAAUGUGAUCCAGAUGUUUGCCGGAACUGCUGGGUGAGGUAUGAACCUGAUCCCACCAAUUUUUCAUAAGCGGAUUCAGCUAUUGUAACUUUCUCUUUGUAAUUCAUUACCGACUUGCUUUAUGCAGUUGUGGAGAUGGUUGGGUGAGGGCCUAUGUGGAAACAUGAGGCUCCUGCUAAGGCAGCAGCAAAGAGUGAGUGAAUCUUAUGGCGGAUAAGUGUUAGUUUAUUAUAUGUGCAAAACAGAGAUGCAUGGUCUUACUACAUUUUGGUUUUUUAUGCGAUUCAGAUCCUCUUGGCCAAAUCUGAUGUUGCUGGAUGGGGUGCCUUUUUGAAGGUUAGUAAAGAAAAAUAAUUACUUUCCUAGGUGACAUUUACUUUGUAAGAUUGGCGGCAGACAGGGCAGUUCGUUUUUAGUUCAAUCUUUACUUGUAAGGCUAUACCAUAGAAAUCAUCCAAACAAAGGAUUUGAGUGUAGUACUAAGUACUGUACAUAUGUAUAUAUACAUCAGAGAGAGAGAGAGGAAUUACCUUGGGAUGAAUAAAUAUCGACCUAAUAAGCGAGAGGAUUCACAGUGUAAUUGUUCUAGAACAAAUCAAGGCUAUUUGACACUCCUGCUUAUGUAUCUUGCAUUUUUCUAUUUUCAUCCUUUCGGGGUGCCAGGUCUAUGCGCACUUUAGCAGUGGUUCUGGCCGCUGGCCUUGUCUUCCGCUUGUUGUUUUCUUGUGGUUGUUUCAUAUCUUAACCAAACGGACACGUUCGAGGAAAAUUCCAUCCUCGUCGACCCAACAACGCCCCAUUCAGAAAUUCAGACCAACAUUCUAUCUGAUUUUUCCAGGAAAACUUGCAACUCAGUGGGAAGAAAAAAAAGGGGGAAGCCAAUGGAACGUAGUGCUUUGAAAAAUGAAACGAGGAUAUAGAACAAAGACCGGUACUAUCAAAUACUAUCUGUUCACCUAGAAAUUUUGUUGUGAAAGUCGUCUCGUUCCUUGCCAUUUCGAUUCAGGUGUUUCGAGUUCGCUAGUUUUCUGAUCCUUUGCAUUAUUGCAUAACCCUUGCCUGCCAAACAGAUCCAUGAGGACAGGACCCAGAAUUCACAGCCCUUCAUCCAAAACUAAAUAGUUCUUGCCAAUUCAAAGAAGAAAAAAAGCACCAUCACAUUUCACAGAAUACCCUUAAGCUCUUCGACCUCUGUUCUCUACACAUACAGCAUGAAUCCAGAAAAGUAUGAUUUAGCCGGACUUGGUAUAAUUUAGCCGAACUCCAAUUUCUUCUCCAGAAAAUGUUCAUCCCUUUCCUCUCCUCAUGUCGAGAAAACCGCCUCGACGAGAGCAUGCUUCUUUUUUGGGUACCCGAGCCCGAACAUGUGAUUCAGAUACACCUUUCCGUCCUUCACUGUGGCGGCGGUCGCCAACCUAUGCGAAGGGCCCUUGAACCUCCCCACAACAGAAGCGCUCUGCCACCCGUCUAGAGUCUCUACCAAUCUCCCUGAAGGAUUUCCUGCAACCACGAGCUUGGUAGGAGACAGCAACUCCAGACCAUCCCCAAACGUCAGCGGGCCUCCCACGACGUCGACCACCUUCACUUCCUCCCCUCCGUUCGUGACAUCAAUCUUGAAGAGCUUGCCGCUGAACGUGUGGAUGACUAGGAGGUACCCGUCCGGGUGGUACACGAUGCCAUUCAGCCCGACAAGGUUUCUGUACCAUUCCUUCGGGAUGAACAGCGGGGAUCGGAUGAUGGAGAGGAGCUCGCCGUCCGGCCCAACCUUCCAGAUUUUGCUUGCUUUGGCAUCGGUCACGUAGGCGUUGCCCUCGGCGUCCACUGCAACAUCAUCCGCAAAGGACUUCUCAUCGCCUGCGCCGGUUAGGAAAGCAUCUUCUUAGGAGGACGAGGGUAAACUUGCAAAGGACAUAGAGCAUCAGUGACAAAAGGAUUCACAAUGCAUUUGAUGGAUAUCCUGAUCAAUUCCAUGAGACAAACAAUGUGACAUGCUCUCGAGUUCGCCUAAAUAUCACAUGGGCCCUCCUAUCGUAGCGUGUAUCUUAACAAAGUUGACUCCUUAAAGAGGAAAAUGUAGUUCCGAGACGAUGAAUGACUAGAUCUGGAAAAUGUAUGAUGGGAAUGACAUUACAUAUAGGAAUGCCAUCUUUGAAAAAUUGAUCGAAUCAUGCAGGAUCUACACGGCCGAAUCAUAGCAGAAGUGACCUAAUUCAGACCAUUAUCGACUUCAGCUUGAGAUCGAGCACUUGAAUGGAGGAACCAACUACUAAUGACAAGUGACCAAACCUUAACCUUCUUGUCUGUCCAAGACUUAAAAUCUAAUUCAAGACACGGAGGAAGGCCAAGUGACCAUACAUUUAUAUGAUCACAAUUUAGCAACUUAUAUGAUACCACAUGUGAUGAACUGAAUGGCAAAACAGUAAAUUCGAAAGAACCAAAAAAGCCAACAACAAGAAACGGAUCGGGACGGAUUUGGGUACGGGUGGGCAAUGACUCUGGCUACGGUCGUCAAAAUCCAGAUUUUCAUGCUGCUAAUGAUUUGCAAUUUUUUUUUUUUUUAAUGCCAGCAAGAUUUUGGUGCUUGAUGUGUUGUGUGGUGAUGGGAAAGUUGCCCCAUUAUGGAGGGCAAAUAUCUAGGUAUUGCAUUUAUUGAUAACCGUUAGUGUGUUCUCAUAUAUAUUUGCAAGUCUUUAAGUAGUCAAUAUUUCCCCCCCAACUUUGCCAUUACAACCUAGCAAAUCCUCUCCACACGUUUUGAAAGGGAAAUAUCAGCCACCUUACCCAGACCCAUUGAUUUGACCCACAAUGAAUCAGCCACGAGGACAAGCUUGUCAAGAACUAAAAUCCAAACGCCAAAAACUCAACUUCUAUAGUGUUAAUUCAGUGAAAGGACGGGACAAUUGAUUUGUAUAGUUAUUCCUAUAAACAUUAUGAUAAGGGUCUUGCCGUCAAAAUGAAAUUUUCAAUAUGAAUCAUACAUAUCCGUUCAUUAGUAGGUACAUGAAUCUGUUAUCGAAUCCUCAUUGGGUUGCCUCACAUGAGAUUGUCGGUGUCUAUCAUACAAUCUAACUAGAGAUUCAUGACACAACUCAAGACGAUAUGAUUUGUUUGUUGCCGUAUCAUCGUUCUUUGCAUUUAACCAAUAGAAAAGAUAUUGCUUCGGACUAAGUUCAGAGGAUCCACCAACUACCUCCAGGAUUUCACCUCAAUCAGGUCACAGCAUGAUCAAAAACUUCGAAUGACAACAUUCUGUUUUUUCCAUAAUAGAUUGUGUAUAUAAAUAAAUUAUUUUUUUGGUAAGAUCGAAUUUUCAAGAAUUUAUCUACCGGUCUAAAUCAAUUUUUGCCGGGUCAUAUCAAAAAGUGGCACCGCACUACACAUGUACGAACGUCCUGAGAUAAUUGAAAUAAAUGCCACAGAACCUACUUUUUGCAACAAUCAUUAUAAACCGAAAGAUAAUUGAAAUAAAUGCCACAAAACCUACUUUUUUGCAACGAUCAUUAUAAACCGAAAAUUUAUUUUCUAGAAGUUAGUGUCGAAAAAAGUCUCAGUAUCAAAUAUAUAUAUUUUAUAUGGAUAUAUACUCUGAAUAAGAAAAAUUCAAGAUCUUGUAAUGUAAUCAGAUAAAAUAAAAUAAAUAUAUAUUUCAAGAUCGAGUCCCUUUGCCCAAAAAAAGAAUCAAAUAAAAAAUUAUUUUACACUAUGUUUACACCCUAAAAAAAAAUUCAAUGAAACUUAGCUAAUAAUAAUAUCACGAAAAUACUCAGCUUAAAUAAUGUAGGAAUUGAAUACGAGAGGAUCCUUGAAAUAUUUUUUCUUAAAAUUAAAAAGGCAUAUUAUGCAUCAAACCAAAACCUGCAUAUUUUUUAUUUUCGUGAUAGGCAAUUUUUCACAUAUUUUCUCCACUAAUCACCUCUUUCCAUGACACAGAAAAACAAUCUCAUGCGUAUUUUUUCUCGGAGAUAAUGAUAUCAAUUAAAUCGAUAGAGUUAAAUGCGAGAAGCAAUAACAAAAAGAAAAAAAAAAAGGAGAAAAAGGAAAAUGUCAAUGUCAGCGUAGCAACGAUACGAUUCACUCAAUAAUUUCUCUCCCAUUCUCUCUCUCUCUCUCUCCAACUUACUUGGGCCGCUGAGUUGCGUGAGGAACGUCCGCUUCCACGUUGACAAAUCGUAGGCCGCCACGGCGGAGUACUUGUUCCCGAUCACGUCGGCGACGGCGACGAGCAGCCGCCCCCUCCCCGCGUCGACGGCGAGCCCGAGGGAGGCGUUCCCGGCGAGGUCGGCGUCCUUGAUCAUCGUGGCCUCCUCGAGCACGGCGGCGGCGGGCGGCGGCGGCGAGCGGUGGUCGUCGUCGGGGACGGGGACCUGGCCGACGCCGCCCUCGAGGAAGGAGACGAGGAAGCGGCGGCCGGGGGCGUCCCACUUGGCGCACUCGCGGAGGAAGCCGGAGCCGUGGUAGUGGAAGACGUGGGUGGAGGGCGGGGAGAGCUCGAGGGCGAUGAGGUAGGCGAAGGGGACGGCGGAGACGAGGAGGAAGGCGGCGAUCAGCUUGGCGGAGCAGAGAGAGGCCGCCAUGUUGGGGAGAGACAGAGCAGACCAGAGGAGAGAGAGAGAGAGAGAGAGAGAGAGUGGAGCUCUGAGGUUUUUGAGCUGGAGUGUCGUGCGUGAGGGGAAGUAACAGGUGGGGAGUUCGGAAAAUCUGCUUGUUUCUUGUUUGACUUAAAUUUUCAGUUAGUUUAUUAGAUAAUAGCAAUUGUAAUUGUACUAAUGAUCAUAAUAACAACGACAAUAAUAAUAAAAAUAAGAUGGCGGAUGCUAGUUUUUCAAAGGGUGAUGUUAGACACAUUGAAAUCAAUUCAUGUGCAGUUAGCGUCGGAGAACACGAAGGAAUGGAUAAAAGAUUCAUUGUUAAUGAGUGCUCUACGAGCAAUUAUUGUACUUAUUGAACAGAAAUAAUUUCACUUUUACUUUUAUCAAAAAAAAAAAUUGCUUUCACUUUUACCGACAUAAUAAUUAAUGAUAUGUUUGAAGUUGCGAAAUCCCCUCAAUUGAUUAUAGUUGAUUUGCCCGACACCCAUCUUUCAUAUGUCAAAUUGAGAGAUUUGCUGUCGUGAAUUGAUCCAGCGCAUGCAAGCGAAAUUUGCAAGAUAAAGAUUUGCUUGCUCAUGAAUUGAAGUUACAAAGUGGCCAGUUCAGUUGAGCUAUUCCUUAACCUAGGGAGGCGAGGGGGACAGCACUCUUUUUUUCUUCAUUGGAAAAACCAAAUUAACAAAAGUAUUUGCCGUUGUAGUUUUGCUGGUGUUGCGUGGGUCGUUGGCGGGCGUGGAUUCCAAGAGGGCGAGCUGUUUUAUAUUUUUUGUCCAAUGGGCAGGUUGUUGGAGCUGGGGAUCUUUUCUUGUCGGCUUUCUCUGCGUCUUUUCUGGUGUGCUCCCGUUGGGACUUUAGUAAGCUCCAGUUCAAUUAAUCUGCCUGGAAAAGUGGGUGGCCUUGCCCUCCUGAGUAUAUCCAUUGUUGAACGCCUAAUUCCCUCAGAGAAAAUCCCAAUUUUAAAUUUAGUACUAAUCCAAUUCUGAAUUUUUUUGUUAAAAAAACUUAACUUUAGGUCCUGUUCAAAUUUGCUCCGAACUUUUUUUGUUUAAUAAAGAUUUCUAACUUUCACUUGAGUUCUAAAUCUAUCUUGAACUUUAAUUUUAGUCCAAAAUUUGUCCCCAUUAGCCUUUUGUCCGAGAAUCACUGUUCAUCAUCCCUAAUUUCCCGACAAUUUUGGAGAUAAUUUUCCAUGUCACCCUUGAGACAAGAAAACAUUCAACACAGAAUUGAGAUCGGACUUAAAGUUUGAGCUUUUUCUUUAAAUUAAUAAAAGCUUUGGGUAGAAUUGAGAUUAAAUCUAAAACUUACAAAUUUAUUAAAUAAUUAGGCUCAUUAUUCAAUGAGGCGGUUUAGUGCAUGCAUAAAACUUUUUUUCUUUUGGUCGAAUCAUAGAUAAGACUUGAAAAGGGUCACUUUACAUUCCUCAUUCAAAUGGAAAAAUCAAUUAUUUCGAAUUUACAAAUGGCAUAACCCGAAAUCACAGGUGAAUCAAGGACAAGAUGCUAGAAAUCGUCACCCGAUCCGGUCAACUCUCAACUUUCAAGUCUGGCCAGUCAGAUAUGAGCAGCUCUGACUUCUGGUCGAUCUUAGUAGCUGGCUUGAUCUAAAAUAAAACAUAUAACUAUUACAAAAAAAAUACCAAAAUCCACCUUGCUUUAUUUUCUAUGCUCCACGCCUUAGCCUCGUCAUAUGCUCGUCAAAAAGAAUUAAGGUCUCUUCGUUAGCAUCGUGAUGCUCAUGAAGUGAAAAUCAAGCUUGGUUCUCGUCUAGGACUAGGGAGACCUUUAAUCAUUCAUCUCAAAAGGGGUUGUUUGAAUUGGUAAAAUGGACUGGAAUUUUGUGCUUCGAUAAGCAACCGAUUCUCGGUUUUGAUUCCAAGUUUCGCCUCUCAAAUGCUUUGCCCAUAUGUAAUAAUGUAAAUGCUUACUUAGAAUAAAUUUUUCUUUUUUUUUUCCUUUUCAAAUAAUCCUUGGCGCUGAGGUCCGGGAAACAACAGGCAAACUCCAGAAGUUGGUUGACUCCGUACCUCCGGCCUUCACGGGUAGAGUCGACCCAAACAAGCUGUACAUGGUUGGUGCGAUUCAAUCAUGGAAAGGCCAACACCCAACCAUGUCGAACCUGCGAAAUUCCAAUUCAACAGUCAACAUACAUCAAAGGCAAUAAAGCACCAUGAAACACCUAAGUGGAUUUUCAAAAGGCAAUAAUAGGGAAAUUUCAACCUUUUCUUGCUCUGAUUAAACAUUCAUAAAUUCAAGAUAGAAAAAGUCUGCCAUGACUAAGGAAGAUAGCAUUUCGAUCCGAAGUACUCGUACCAUAUAUUAACCACCAACAUAUUUUCGAUGGGUAAAUCUGAAUGAUACAUAAAAUGCAGCCCCAUAGCAUACUCGCUAAACACGAAUAGCAGCAAUUUGGAGUGCUUGCAACCAGUGAUCAGAAAUGUAACCUUGCGUGCAUGUAAAUUAGUUAAACAUAGUGAUUUUGCAACAACUAAACCACAUAGCACAACACGGUAAACUUCGAUAGCAAAAGUAAAGCAGAGCCGGAACAGAACCAUCCUAAAGCAAGAGAAGAACAACCAAUAUCCAUGUUUUCCACGACAUAUGUUUCACUGUGCAGCAGUACUUUCUAUGAGUUCAACAUCGAGCGUUUCCUUAUUACCAUGCAUAAUUACAUGAGUGAGCGACAAAUAAAACUCAUUGGUCUCUUAUGAUAAUUUGACUGAAAGAUAAAGCCAUGCAAUCAGAUCAUGGUACUUUCAAAUGCAAUAUAGAACUCUGCAUUUUGGAAGUGCUGCUCCAUUGUGAAUUAAACAACAUUUUCUACAGGAUAUCUGAUGAAGAUGCACCCUUCAUCGUUUUUCCACCAAUUGACAACCCACAGUGAAAUCAAAUGAAUCAUGGAGGCCUCAGGAACCAUUUAGAGAGAGCUGCCGAUCAAAGUCUCUUCUUUGCGCAUCUUCCAUUCCUCUGCAGAUUACAACAAUUCAGAAGUAAAUAUGAGCUGUCCCAUCCAUGAGCUGCUAAUUCACUUUGGGAUGUUAUUUCAGAAAAUCGAUAUGACUGAAUUUGUCUAUACAUGAAAUGAAGCUCGGAAAGACACACACCAUAGAUAUCAGAGUGAAACUAUAUGAAAAUUCCAAAACUACUCAGUUCAAAACAAAGGGAAAAUAAAUUAAGGGGCCAUUAACAUAUCUGUGACAAGUGGGGACAGAACACAGAAGAAAUGGGGAAUUCUAAAUCAGUGCUUCUGCAAUCAUUUAGUAUGCACAAACCCUUAGCAAAAGACAACAGACGUACUUCUAGCAAAGUUGGAGCACAUAAUACUAGAAUUGAUUAGUUAGGUAUUAUUCGUUCCUUUCACCAUAACCUCAGUAAAAGUGGCAGUACUUCAUACGUAAUAUACAUGUAGAAUGAUGCUGGAAUAUUUCCAUGGAAGCAUGUAGUAAGUACCACGGUGCUGAUCAGAAUCAGCCAGCUCUAGGUUACCACCACCACUUGCAGCAACUACUUUGGCUCUGAACCCAUUGCUCCUUUACUUUCAUCAUCUUUACAAGAAUUGAGAUCUGCAGUUACUUCAGAAGCAUUCGACACACAGUACUUAUGUAACCACCUAUCAGUUUCCCAUAGGACAUGCAUGACGCUCUCGCGAGCAGCAUAGCCAUGGCUCUCAAAUGGAAGAACUACAAGGCGACAAAGAGCACCAUGACCCUUUAAAGCAUUGAAAAAACGUUCUGACUGCAACAAACACAAAUGCAAAUCAAAGUGGCGAGCAGGUUAGUGAUUUUGCAAUUAUAAUCAGAAAAACUGAUCAGUGCUGAAAUGAACCAGUUAUGGAGAGUACAAGAGGGUAAGAAAAUACAAUGACACCACCCAAGAGUAUUGUAUAUAAAAUCUGCACCCUUUUCCUUAAAUAAACCUGAAACUAGACCUGGAAACAUAUACACACGCAUGCAUAUGUAUUAGUAGCCUCCCACACACACACACACACACAUACCUGCAUGGGUAGUGUUCCUGAGUUAUCGUCUUCUUCUCCAUGGAUAAGCAAGAUUGGUUUCUUUAUUUUAUGAACUGACAUGAAAGCACUCAUCUCCACAUAUGUAUCAGUAGCCUCCCACAAAGUUCUCUCCUCAUUCUAUACAACAAAGAGGCACAGUGCCAAUUGUCAGGGCUCAAACAUAAGUAAGAAAAAGCAACUUCAGAAGACACAAGGUCAAGUCAGACAAGAAAUACUUUGAGAAUCCAACCACUGGCCUACCUGAAAACCAAAAGGUGUGAGUGUCCUGUUGUAAGCUCCAGACCGAGCUACCCCGCAACAGAAUAACUGAGGGGCAUGUGCAAGGAGGUUUGCAGUCAUAAAUGCUCCAUAUGAGUGCCCACUAAUAGCAAUUUUGUUGGGAUGAGCAACCUUAAUCAGCAAAUGAUAUAAAUGGAACCUGUUAAAAAUAAUCUCAUCUACAAGAGUUGUGUAAAUUGAAAAGAGAAAAGGAACUUACUCCGCGACGGAUUACUUCCUCCACAGCGGCCUCUGCACUUGCAACUAAUUGCUCCACAUACCUAACCAAGGAAUUGAGCCAAAGCAUAUAUAAACAUGAAAAAUCUAAAGCUAUUAAUAGCACAGCUUUUUUGGUCAAGUCUAGGAGCUUAUUUGGGGUGGCUCCGGCUUUGUGGCUAUGGCUUUUGACUUUUAGUUUUAGCAUGCGGCUUCUAUUGGCUAGAGUGUUUGGAAGUUCGUCCUAAACCCUUUUGGAACUUAUGCUCAACUAAUGUCAAAUGUACAGAUAAAACUAUACUAAAACCAACCAUUUCACAUUUAAAAGCGCGAUGUUCACAAUUUGCAUAUUCAUUUUCAGUAAAAAGCAAAGGCGUGAGCCAAAGAGAUACAGGGUAGCAACCUAUUCAUACACAAUUUCCCAAGGUUGACUUUUUUACUAGAUUUUAACAACAAAACAUACACUACAUGAAAAUUAGAACCACGAGUAUAAGGAGUGAGGGACCUUAACAGGCUAUGCAGAAAAGUACCAUGAGUAAACAUUUGCCAUGAAGGAGACAAUAGACUAGUGAGGAGAAGCAUCAACUAGAAGAAUUUAAGAGUUAUGCAUCCAUAGACCAAUAACUUAAUUUUGAGAAAUCAGAUUUAGAGCUAAGAACUCUGCAACCAUCUAAUUUUAGCCAAACAUCUCUAAUACUGUCUCAAAUGACAUAAAAAUUUUCCUAGAAUGGCUUUUGUCAGCUUAUCGAACAGAGGAAACUCUCGAACAUGAAGAUUAACUUUAUGCUAACAGAAAAAGAUUGCUUUACCUGUCAUUUGCCUCUUCUUCACCCUCACCAAUGAUCGGAAUUGUCGGUCCUAACAAGAUAGCAAACCUAGAAGAGAUAAAACCUAUAAGAAUUAUUCACCAGUCCCUAAAUUUGCAUAUAUCAAUCAACACAGGUGCCAGGAAACUGAAAAUGGAAUGCGAAAAGAAGGAAAAUGACAAUGGAAAUCCAUGCCUUCUAGCCAGCCAAAGAAGAGGUGAUGUCGAAAACAUCCCAGCAAAUUCAUUAGGAGAACCACGGACUUGUCCAGCAGCAUCUUUGCUUUUAAAUUCUCCAGGAUAUGCCCAGACCACACAGGGAAGAGGACCCUCUUUUGAUAGAUCAUAGUUCGGUGGCAGAUAAAGUGUUGCUGUAAGUUGAACCCCAUCCUUCCUCUGGUAUCGUAUCAUCUCUUUCUGGAGGGAGGCCAACUGAGGAUAGGGAUGCGGGAAGUUUGUAAUUUGACAAGCUUUCUUAUCUGGCCAGCUCAUAACAUGGUACUGUCUAUUCUCAGUUUUUGACUCUUUCGAAGUUAAGAUCUUCAAUUGAUCAAGACUAAUGUCCCCGUCAUUUUCAUUGGACAAUAAAGCAACAACAGUCUCGAAAUACUUUUCUUUGUCACUCUGCCAUAUUCGUUCCUUGCUGCCCGUGUUUCUGAACGAACAUGAGUUAGAAAACAAUGCCAACGGUUGAGAUCUUAAGAGAAAAACCUUGCUGGAGAAUGAGGACUAUGCACUUACAGAAACUUACAUGUCAAACAAAUCAAGGAAGGGGAUGUUCCCUUCUGGUGUUGCACCACUCCCAUUCAAUAGGACAUAAGUGCCUUCACCAUUUUCCUUCUUCACUUUUGCAAUGACACGUGUCCCAGCUGGCAUUCUUUGAAGCAUUGGAGAACCAGGAUCUGAGUAUACAUCUUCAGAUGACCUAUCAAAUAGUAUGCGAGGAUAUGUCUCCUUGGAUUCUGGAGAAAUAACCCAGGUUCUCGUUCUCCGUGUCUUGUACCAAGAUUCAUAAACCAGAGCCAAUGAAUCAUCACACCAUGAAACUCCUCUGAACAGAAAUAAUAAGAAACUCCACAUUACAAUCUUUGCAACAUAAGGCAUGAGUAGCCACAAGUCUUUUACAUUGAUUGGCAAAUCAACUAGCCAUCAUUCAUGAAUUAAUCACGUUGAACUAACUAGAUAAAAUACAAGUGAAACAAAAGUAGGGAAGAGGCAUGCCAAAUCUCCUGAACUGACAGGAAGAAGUUGUUGCUAAUAAUAGUACUUCAAUCUCAGGGAAAAACAAUUCAUACCUAUAUCGAAGAUCCACUUUGUGUAAGAUUUCUGGUUGUUCACCUUCAAGUGGUUCAGCUGGUUGUGUGUAAAUUAUAUCCCGUGGAGAAACUUCAACUUUGGCAUCACCCCCGUCUUGUGUCUCCACCCUAUAUGCCUUAAAUCAAUUAAAAAGAAGCUACAUGCACAUAAACUAGUAAUAAUGCAUCACCUAAUUCCGUCAAAAGUCACAGUAUAUGACAUUGUCAUUAUGAUAAACCGAUAGAAUAUUCAAAAGGAGAAUUUAGAAAAUUAUGCAGAAAUUUCACUAAUCAACUUGACACAUCUUAUCCGACGUGCGGACCCCUGGAGUGCCAUAACUUUGGCCAAAGGGACACUUAAGUGCCAUAACUUACGAAAGGUGUGCCACAUUUUAAGAAAAGUGGGACACCUAAGUGCCAUCUCCGGCAAAGUUGGCCGGAAAUCAUACGUGGCAUUAAAAUAUUAAUAUUUCUCGCUGAUGUGUCUCGCCGGAGAGCUGAGUCAGCUCGAAUUCGGCCAAAACGACGUCGUUUUGACAUCAUUUGAAUUUUAUAAUAAUAUAAAAAUUAUUUAAAUUAAAUUUAAAAUAAAUUUAUUUAAAACAUUUUUUAAAAAUUUAGAAACUUUAAACAUUAAAAAAAAGAAUUACAAAAUUACAAAAAAUUUACAAAUUUACAAAAAAAAUUAAAAAAUUACUAAAAAAUUUACAAAAUUUACAAAAAAAUUUAGAAAGUUACAAAAAAAUUACAAAAAAUUACAAAAAAUUUACAAAAUUUAAAUAAAAUUUAAAAAAUUUAGACAAAAUUUAAAAAAUUUUAAAAAAUAAUUAAAAUUUACAAAAUUUUAAAAAUUUGCAAAAAUUUUAAAAAUUUGCAAAAAAUUUUAGAAAGUUACAAAAAAUUUACAAAAUUUAUAAAAAAAUUUACAAAAUUUACAUAAAAUUUACAAAAUUUACAUAAAAUUUAAAAAAUUUACAAAAAAUUCAAAAAAUUUACAAAAAAUUCAAAAAAUUUACAAAAAAUUCAAAAAAUUUACAAACAAUUUUAGAAAGUUACAAAAAAUUUAAAAAACUUACGAAAUUUAAAAAAAUUUACAAAAAAUUUCAGCCCUCAACCGGCACCCUUUUCUUUUUUUUUUAAAUUAUUUUUUUGUAACUUUUUAAAUUUUGCAAAUGUUUUUAAUUUUUAAAAUUUUAUUUUUAAAAUUUUUAAAUAAAUUUAUUUUUAAAUUAAAAUUAAUUAAUUUUCUAAAAUUUUUAAAAAAUUUUAAAAUUUUCUAAAAUUUUUUGAAUUUUUUUUUAUUUUUUUAAAUUUUAAUUUCUUUUUAAUUUUUAAAUAUUUUAUCAAUUUUUAUAGAAUUUUAUAAAUUUUUAUAGAAUUUUAUAAAUUUUUAUAAAAAUUUUACAAAAUUUUCUAAAUUUUUUUAAUAUUUUUAGUUUUUUGAAAAUUGUAAAUUUUUAAAAAUUUAAAAAUUUAAAUAUUUUAAAUAUUUUAUAAAUAUUUAAAUAAAUUUAGUUUUAAAUUAAUUUUUAUUAAAUUUUUGGCCACAUCAGCAUUAAAACGACGCCGUUUCGCACUUGCUUCGCCGGAAAAUUGACACGUCAGCAUUUUGGCCGGAUUUUGGCCGGAUUGGCACUCAAGUGAUCCAUUUUACUCCGAUUUUGGCACUUAAGUGUACCUUUCGUAAGUUAUGGCACUUAAGUGUCCCUUUGUGCAAAGUUAAGGCACUUGAAGCGUUCUUUUGCCCAUCUUAUCCAAAUAUAUCUGUAACCAGUGCUCCUUAAGUGAAAGAAUGUGGGAAGUUCUUGGCCCCGAAAUGAACCAUGGACAUUUAAGAAAGAAAAGCAUUGACCAAGAACUAUCCUAAUAUGUCGCUGUUUGUUAUUUAUUUGGAUCCCCAUUAUCUACCCUUCUUUGCAGAACUACCAAUCAUCAGAAGCGUAUGCAUGAGAAGCAGACUUUCUGAUAUAAAUGCUGCAAAGAAGGCAUGUACUAUCGUACCCAACAUGCAGGAACUUGGCAGUCUCAUCACUCAUUUUCACCACCCCCAUGCAAGCGCUAAUAGUGAAUGCCUAAUGCAAUUUUAUGUGCCCGUAAAUUUCUUCACGAAAUAGAAUGAAAAUGAAACCCCAAAAGUAGGGUGUUAAUUCUUUUAUCAUCAAACUGACAUAAAAGCAAGCAGAGAAGGAACAAAAAUGAAGCACCAAACAGUUUCAGACAAUUACCAGUAUAGGCUAGAAGGUUUAUCAGCUCUCCAAUGGACUGAGCGCAUCCCUUUGCGCACACUAUUGAAUGCAAUUGGGAUGUCCUCUGCAAGGGCCAAAUCACAAAGUUCUCUGACAAGUUGUCCGUCUGCAGUCCAUACAUCUACUUUCUUGGGAAAUCUUUCAUAAGGUACAACGAAAGAGUAUGGCCUAUGAAUUGAGCUUAUUAAAAGGUACUUCCCAUCUGGAGAGGGAUCAAUUGAGGUAUAUACAGCCGGUGGACCAAUUUCCUUUGCUUUUCCAUCCAACGUAACCAAAAGAAGUUGAGACCUGGCAUAGUAAUCAAACAAAUCUUUGUCAUAUUCAUCCUUCAGCAGGUCUUGAAAUGUUUCAACCUGAAUGACAUUCUUCUGCUCAUUUGACUGGACUUUAGGACCUCCAGGAACCAAAGGUUUUUUUGGCGGAUCUCCACGGCCCAAGGGUAUUGUGCAAACUACUAGUGUGGAGUUAUCUAUCCAGACAAAUUUGUCAAAAACUGCAUUUAGGCAUAUGUCAGGUGACUUGAACAAUGGUCUGGCUUUCCCUGUUUCCACAUCAGCAACCCAAAGCUGAAGCUUACUACUGCUAUUGUCUUCCUCAUCAAGUCGAAUGCAGAAGGACAAAUGUCUACCAUCAUUUGACCAGGUGACAAAGUUGAUCUUUGCGCCAUCAGGAAACCCAUGUACUUCUUUUUCUGGCCCUAAGUUAUCAUCGGGCGAUAACUGAUGGAUCCCCAUACCAGUAUAAUAUGAUAUCCGACUCCUGGUGCUGCACUUAACAUCGAUACGGAUGCCAGCCAGCUUCUCUUCUGGUCUUGCAAGCUCAGCUAAAGGUGGUAAAGCUCUCCGUUUUAAAAACAGAAUUUUAUCUCCUUGUGGGGAGAGUGACAAUACAGGACAUGGCGGAGCAUCAACUAUAUCUCUAAUUUCUGGCGGAGGAAGACGAUAUGUGCCACCCAGUGCCGAACCUGCAAUAGGUAAUUCAUAAUGAGUAUUCUGCUACUGGGAAUUGUACAGCAACAAUAACCCAAAAAAUUAAAUCCAAGAUCAUUCAAGCGCAUAAAAGAAAAAUUUAUGUAUUCAGAAUGUUAAAAACAAUAGGCCUAAAAUGCAAAUAAUUAAUUUCAAGGGGAAACUUCAGUCUGCCAAUGGAAGAUCAGAGGGUUGCCACUCUACGACAGAGAGUAAUAUUUCUAAGUAGUUCUUAUUGAUGAAGGCAAACAAACAAGCUUAACAUAUUGCCAGGCAACACUUUCUCAAUUGAAGUGACCUACUGAUAAUGUAAUAUUUUACUGUAUAGGGGAAGAAAUAAAGCUCUCCAAAUGGAUUGGUACUACAUAGUGGAUUGGUACUCAAAUGGAGUUUGCUCUUGCCACUUCGAUGUCUAGGCAACCGCCUUUCUCUUGUAAGCUUAAAAUCAACUCAAUGAGUUAAGAAAAAUCCAAUCUUUGGCUAUUGUCCUCAAGCCUAGACUCUAGAACCGAAACAAAGGAAAAUGCUCUUCUUGAUCUUUUCUCAACAGACUAGACUUAAGCCCUACUACAAGGUUUUGAUGUAGAAUUGAACACAGUCAACUGCCGACAUCCUUCAGACCUCACUUCCUCUAAACCAAAAGGCACGGAAUGGAAUUAGCUUUCCAUUCGAAACAGACAAUUGCCGAACGCCUCUACUCUCUUCCCACCUCGGCUAAUUCCCCUCCCGCACGGAUCGCAAUUUCAACUCCCGAAACCUCCGCCGUCAACAGCUAUCAGACCAUAGUCCACACGCAAUUCGCUCUCAUCGGACGCACCGACCCACUCGAACGUAGUAAAACAAAGCAAACGGACGAGAAUUCAGUUCCGGACAACGUCGGUCUACCUUCGUCCUCGUAAUAGCCGAGACCGGCACCGCUCACGGCAGCAUCAGAAGCGGAGCCGCCGCCGUUCUCGGCGGCCACAGCGGAGCUGGCGGGCGAGGAGGUCAUGAUCGUCCCGGACGGCGCGGCCGGCGGAGUCGUCAGGCGGCCAGGCGCACGGAGCGACGAGAACCUGCGGAGUCUCGAGGAGGGAGGAGGAGAGAGAGGAUGGAGGCGAUGAAAGCGGCAGGGUUUGAGGGCGCGCAGGGUUUGAGGGCGCAUGAUCAUUUCGGUGGAUCGAUGGCCUGCUUAAAUAGACCGUGUCCGUCGUCUUCUUCGUUGCGGAAGAAGGGAGUUUCAGCAUGGAUUCGCUUAGGUUCUACGUGGGCUAGAAAGCGCACUGGCAGGUAAGGGCCUGUUUGAUAAGUUUUUAUUUUUUAUUAUUUUUUUUUUUUGUUGACCCUCGAACCAACUGGCAGCCGGUGGCAUAAAUCAGGGGAAGUACUAGUGCCGAAGUCCACCUCUCAUGGCACUCUACUUUAGUCGCGCAAUGGGGCGUGAAGUUUCGAACCCCUCUCCUCCCGGAUGAGUCGGCACUCCACUGUUUGUUUAUUUUUGUUUCUAUUUCUCAGAACAAAAAUUUCUGUUUUUUUUGUUCCGGGAACCAAAAAAGAAAAGAAAUGCGUUUGAUAAAACUUUUGUUCCCGAGAACAGAUUUGAAACAAAAAACUUGUUACUUGUUUCCGGAACAAUUUUGAAAAACAAUUUUAAAAAACAAUUUUUCACUCCUCUUUCUUUUUCUUUUCUUUUCUUUUUCUUCUUCUUCCUUUUUCCGGUCAUCAGCCUUGGCCAUGGUCAGCAUUGGUGACCGGUCAGAAGAGGGCCAGCAACCUCGCUAGAGCGUCGCCAGUCCCUAGAGACGCCAAGCCAUGGCAAGGCUCGACCUCACCUUGGUUGGGCGAGCUUGGUCUUGCCAGAUCUGGGCGAGCUCGAGCUCGCUCAGCCCAGGCAAAGUCGAGUCUUGUCGGCCGACGCGAGGCUUAGCCUCGCCAAGUUAGGGCGAGGCCGACCUCGACUGGGCUGGGUGAGCUCGGCCGGCGCGAGCUUGGCCUCGCCCAGAUCUGGUGAGGCCAAGUCUUGCGGUGGCCUGGCGAGGCUUCGGCGAGCUCACCGAAACUCGCCCAGCUGGUCGUGGCGGUGGCCAGCCACAAAGAGAAAGAAGGAAAAAAAAAAGGAAAAAUAUUGAAAAACUAAAAAAAGUAAUAAAAUUAUACAAGUUUACCAAACUCAUUUCUAUUCCUGGAGUAUAAAUUUUUUGCAGUUAUCAAGUGCGUUCUUAUAUUCAAAAAUUGUUCUUGGGAACAGAAACAAAAAAAAAAUUAUUUAUGUUCAAAAAUUGUUCCUGGAAUAGAAACGUUACCAACACGUCUUAAUUUUUAAAACGUGGGGCCAGCCAAUGAAGUGAGGCCAUUUUUGUAAAAGAGGGUUCUGAAUGCAUCUUAUCUUAAAUAAAUAAUUGAAAUGGCCCAACCUAAACUUCAUUAAGAGCCUGAGUUCACUAGUGGCCAAAUUCUUGCCAACCAACCAAUUAUAUUGUUACGAAAUCAGAAAAAUAAUGGCCGCAAAUAAUUCAUCAAAUAGAAUAUAAUAAUAAAAUAACAUAAUCAAAAGACCAUGCUAAAUUUUGUUAUUGAAGUUUAGUCAAAUUUGGGCUAUAUAUCUUUGUGCGAAAGUAAUUUGUAAAUCCACUAGAUUUUGAUAAAAGUUGGAAUACAAUAAUGAUAUUUUCUUAAUAUCAUGAGUGUGACAUCCCCCCAUCCGGUCAUCAGCCUUGGCCAUGGUCAGCAUUGGUGACCGGCCAGAAGAGGGCCAUCAACCUCGCUAGAGUGUCGCCAGUCCCGAGAGACGCCAAGCCAUGGCGAGGCUCAACCUCACCUUGGUUGGGCGAGCUCGGUCUUGCCAGAUUUGGGCGAGCUCGAGCUCGCCCAACCCAGGCAAAGUCGAGUCUUGUCGGCCGACGCGAGGCUCAACCUCGCCAAGUUAGGGCGAGGCCGACCUCAACUGGGCUGGGCGAGCUCGACCAGCGCGAGGUCGGCCUCGCCCAUAUCUGGUGAGGCCGAGCCUUGUGGUGGCCUAUCGAGGCUUCAGCGAGCUCACCGAAACUUGCCCAGCUAGUUGUGGCGAUGGCCAGCCACAAAGAGAAAGAAGGAAAAAAAAAAGAAAAAAUAUUGAGUCUAGUUGUUAUUAAAGUUCAGUCAAAUUUGGGCUAUAUAUCUUUGUGCGAAAGUAAUUUGUAAAUCCACUAGAUUUUUAUAAAAGUUGGAAUACAAUAAUGAUAUUUUCGUAAUAUCAUGAGUGUGACAUCCCCCCUCCCCCCCAAUCCGAUCAUCAGCCUUGGCAAUGGUCAGCAUUGGUGACCGGCCAGAAGAGGGCUAGCAACCUCGCUAGAGCAUCGCCAGUCCCCAGAGACACCAAGCCAUGGCAAGGCUUGACCUCACCUUGGUUGGGUGAGCUCGAUCUUGCUAGAUCUGGGCGAGCUCAAGCUCGCCCAGCCCAGGCAAAGUCAAGUCUUGUCGGUCGACGCGAGGCUCAGCCUCACCAAGUUAGGGCGAGGCCAACCUCGACUGGGCUGGGCGAGCUCGGCCGACAUGAGGUCGGCCUCGCCCAGAUCUGGUGAGGCCGAGCCUUGCGGUGGCCUGGCGAGGCUUCGGCGAGCUCACCGAAACUCGCCCAACUGGUCGUGGCGGUGGCCAGCCACAAAGAGAAAGAAGGAAAAAAAAGAAGAAAAAAAGGAAAAAUAUUGAAAAACUAAAAAAAUAAUAAAAUUAUACAAGUUUACCAAACUCAUUUCUAUUCAUGGAGUAUAAAUUUUUUUCAGUUACCAAGCGUGUUCUUAUAUUCAAAAAUUAUUCCCGGGAACAGAAACAAAAAAAAUUAUUCAUGUUCAAAAAUUGUUCCUGGAAUAAAAACGUUACCAACACGUAUUAAUUUUUAAAACGUGGGGCAGCCAAAGAAGUGAGGCCAUUUUCGUAAAAUAGGGUUCUUAAUGCAUCUUAUCUUAAAUAAAUAAUUGAAAUGGCCCAACCUCACUAGUGGCCAAAUUCUUGCCAACCAGCCAGUUAUAUUAUUAUGAAAUCAGAAAAAUAAUGGCCGCAAAUAAUUCAUCAAAUCGAAUAUAAUAAUAAACUAACAUAAUCAAAAGACCAUGCUAAAAAUUUUGUUAUUGAAGUUUAGUCAAAUUUGGGCUAUAUAUCUUUGUGCAAAAGUAAUUUGUAAAUCCACUAGAUUUUGAUAAAAGUUGGAAUACAAUAAUGAUAUUUUCUUAAUAUCAUGAGUGUGACAUCCACUUUCCGAAGUAUCAAUGAGGUGAACGGUCACAAUGCGAUGCCAUUGAACUUGAGUUUUAAUCCCACGGAUGUUAGAUUUAUGAAUACAUAUGUCUGUUCAAAAAAUGUAUUUGUAUACAUUAUACAUAUAUAUUAGCUAAUUGCGCGCGCAAAUUUUUUUGGUAUUAAAAAUCAAAUUUGUAGUAAAGAAAGUGAGAUAGCAAAUGGCGUAUUAUGGUGUAUUUAUUAGAACAAGGGUUUGCAUGUGGAUUCGGUUGGACAUUGUUGUUAACCCUAAAAUCACUUUAUGUGUCUAUUGAUACCUAAGUAAAUUGACACCUUAUGUUUUUCGAUUACUAGCAUAUAUAAAUAUCUAAAAAUAUAACAUUUUUGAGAAUUUAGGUAUUCAAGCAUAGUUGAUAAUUUUCAUCAUAUUGUCGGCACAUUGGCCGUCAUAUCUUCCAUCAAUAAAUCUUGUUAUACGAUCAACACUGCUCAUCUGGGGCUACAUCUUCAUUGGUACUCUAAUUUCAGACAGCAAGUCAAUGUAUUUGAGAAAGUCAUGUAAUUUAAAGUAGCAUCGUGAUCCUAACACAAACAAAACUAGAAAUUCUUGUGGGUGUUUACAGAAAAAUUCUUGUAAUCCAACUAUUUAAUUUGGAUAUAUGCAAUGCAAAUAUGAGUUGUAGCUUUCAUCACUAUAAAGAUUUGGGCAAGGUAUUUAACCCCCAUCUUUGUCUUGAACAUCAACAACAAUCCUUAGUACUCUAAUUGAAGAGAAGUAAGAGCUUGUGCACAUGUUAUGAAUCUAAAUGGGGAAGUCAUUGAGAAUUUGGCCAAAAAACUAAAAUUAGGAUUGUAUCGCACAAUUACAUCGGAUAUUUAUUUUCCUUUUUAUUAUAGUUGGUUGUAACGAAUGGACACAUUUCUCAACUACUUGCGGAGUAGUCAAGGCGCUUGGUCACACUCAAAUCAUAUUGUCUUCCAUGACAAAAUAACUUUAGUGACCUCAUUAGCUAAAAUCAAAUUCUAACAUAAUCCCACAAAUAAUUGUUCCAUUCUCUUAUGAUUGGUUUAUGAUAAAUUAUGCAUGACUUUCUCGAAUGCAUUAACUUGCUGUCUGAAAUUAGUGGGACUGAUGGAGGUACCGAGACAUGUGUUAUGAAUGCAUGACGAGUUCACAAUUAAAAUUAAAGAAAUAUUAUUUUAGAAAAAUAUUUUUCUACUUUUAAGAUAUUUUCAGUAAAAAAAAAAAAAGAUAUGUUCAGUAGCUUUGUGAAAGGUAUGGCAUUAACCUUGAGAAAUAUAGCUCCGGAUGAGCAGUGUUGAUUGUAUGACAAGACUCAUAAAUGGAAAAUAUGACGGUCUAAUGUGUUGACAGUAUGAUAAGAAUUAUCAACUAUGCAAGAAUAGCUAUAUUUUCAAAAACGUUAUAUUUACUUAGGUAUUAAUAGACACAAAAUGAUUUUAGGGUCAACACGUCCAACCAGAAUCAAUUAAGGACGAGUCCAAUCCACAUGCAAACCCAUGCCCUACUAAAUAUACUAUUAUAUGCCUUUCACCAUCUCAAUUUCUUUCCUGCAAAAUUUAUUUUUAAUACCAAGCAAAUAUGCACAGGCAGUAAACUAAUAUAUAUUUAAAUACAUUUUUUGAACAAACAUAUAUAUUCAUAAAUAUAACAACUGUGAGAUUAAAACUCAAGUUCGAUGGCGUCGUAUUGUGACAGUUCGCCUCAUUGAUACUUCGGAAAUAAUCUCUUAGGAGAUAUUCAAUAGGUAUAUUUCUUAGUAAAUGUGCUACUAUUAUGUAUUUAUCAUUUUGAUGUUAACCACAAAAUAUUGUGUGACUUUUGCCCGAUUUUUGUUUUUAAUUCAAAUUGCAUUAUGUGAGUAAAUUAAUGGUUGCAUUCAUGAUUAGGAAAAUCGAACAAUUAUUUCUAGAUGAACAUAUAGCUGGAGACUACUCAAAUUAUGUUUGAUUAAGUAUUUUGGGUUUACGAUAGAUUAUACAUGACUUUCUCGAAUGUAUUAACUUGCCAUCUAAAAUUGUAUUCUACCAAAAUUAUUGCAAUUUCGAUGGUUUAAGUGUUCAUAAAUGCAAGCAUCAUUAUUGAUUACAUGGCCAAUUAUAUUUUUUCCACACUUAUAUUUAGCGGCUAGCAUGUUAUGCUAUCCAUGGGAGUAAUCUCCUUGGCCCUACUCGUCAUUGCAAUCCUCAUCAUACUAGAAUUCCCCUAAUGGCUUAUCAUGUAGGGACGCUUGGCUGAUGCAAGGAUCGUUCUUGCCAAGAUCUUCAAUUCUGAGCAAAAGGCCACGCUUUGGUAUGUCUUGGUAUGUCAACAUCAAAAAGGCCGUCAAUAUCCUAGAUUAUUGUAACGACGAUAUUGUCAGUGUGCAUAACACUGCAAAAAGCGUGUGGUGGGAUCUUCUUCACCCAACCUUGUUUGUCCGUCACGUACCCUUUUGCAUAAUUAGGAUCCAAAUCACUCAACAAGUCUGUGACAUUGACAUUAACCUCUUCUAUAAUCCUCGAAAUUUUGAGAAAGUUGGCAUCACCUUCUAUGCCAAUGAGUUCUCAUUGACCAUGACAAUCAAUUUUGUAAAGACAUUAUUCAUCGUCGUUACCUCUUUCCUCUUUGAUAAGGUCAAACGAUGGUGACUACUACCGAGCAAUAUUAGUGGGAGGAUUGUCACACAUCUCCCUUAGUACGUGCCUCACCAUCAUUGAUCAAAGUAGCCCGAAGUAUGUCAACCAAAGUUACGUGAAAUACAUAUGCAUCACCUCAUUCAUCUAUGGGGGCCCCUACUUAGUGGGAAUGGGGCCAAUCAUGUCGGUUUACAUCUAAAAAAUAUUUCCACUAAAACUACAUUUGCAAGGAUGCACAAUUGCCUUCGUCGCCAACCAAUUGAUGAGUGCAAUUAUAACAUUGACAUUCUUACUGUUGAAGAAAGCGAUCACCCUCGGUGGGGCUGCCUUCUUGUUCGCGUGCAAUGCGUGGUUUCUAUUCUUCAUGAUAAUGUUGAAGACACUGGAGAAGAGCUAAUUUUUCAAUGAAUGCAUCCAGUGGCAAGAUAGAAAUGCAAAGGUCUAUUGCAAGGGAAUUAGAGAGGAUGAAUUGAGGUAAUGAUAGUUUUUUUUUUUUUUGGGUAAGUGAGGUAAUGAUAGUUGAUAGAGUAAUUAUAGUUGAAAAAAUAUUAGAUAACAUAAAAUUAAUAAUAAUAAUUGGAAAUAUAUUGAAAAAUAUUAGAAAAUAAAAUUAAUUGUCUGAGACAUGCAAACACUGUCUUUAAGAGUAAUUCCACAUUUUGAAAUACGAAACUCGGUGCAUAAGGCUCUAGUAACUAUCCUUCCCAGAUAAAACAGACCUCCUUUAUUCCAAACUAGACAAUAGAAGAAAACAAGAAAAACAUUAUAUGUAUAACUCACUAGAGAAAAGAAAAAAUAGGAAAAGAGAAAUAAGAAUAUAUAGAUUUUGAUGUAUCUAUAUGACUUUCUAACUACGUUCAAAAUAACUAAUUAUAGUAAAAAAAACAAAAAAGAGAGAACCAUUUCAAAAUUGUUAUAAAUCCAUUAAUAUUUAAAGAAGAAUAUGAUUGUUUUAUAGCCAUCAAUAGACAUGUCCAGUGAUUGCAAAGUUAACAACAACGUUCAACUGAAGUCCAUUGAGGACUCCAAUUCUCUUGCAUAGCCAUGCCCAAAUAAAUACACCGUAAUAUGCACAUUCGCUGUCUCACGUUAUUCCUUGCAAAAUUUAUGUUGCAAUUUUCAGGAUGUUGACAACUUUCUUCAUGUUAGCAUACCAAAGCACGGUCUCCUACUCCAAGUUGGCAAUCCCUGCACCCAACAAGCGUUCGUACAUGAUAAGCCACUGGGGAGAUUCUUAUAUGGCAAGGACCGCAACGUCGAGUAAGGCUAAAGAGAUUGCUCUCACAAAUAGGGGGUAAUUACACUAGAAGUGUCAAAAGUUGUAUAUGGCACUCACUUUGGUACCAAAAGUUUCCAUUGAAUCACUUAAGUGCCAAAUCGAAAGAAAAACGAUCACUUUGGUGCCAUCAACGAGAGAUUCCGGCCAAAAUAAUUACGCGUUAUACGACGUCGUUUUACGUCCCCCUUAAGAAAACGACGUCGUUUUGCCAUCAUACGUGAAUGGCCUCACAAAAACAACGCUGCACAGCUCAUAUGGGGAUUGAAAUUAGGGUUUUUUUUGUCCGAUCCUUGCCCAACGCUGACCUAGCUUGCUCGGCCACCGUCACUCGGCCACCGUCGCUCGACCUCCAUCAUAGUUGCUCGACUAGGUGAUCAACGAUAAGAAUAGGAGGCGAGGGCAAAGGAGGAGGAGGAAGAAGAAGGGGAGUCAAAGGUGGAGAGAGAGAAGACGAGGAGGGCGAGGGAAACAAGAAGGACGCAAAUGGAGAUGGUGGAUUGGGCUCUGCUUAGGAAGUGGCUAAAGUGGAUCCUUUUGAAGGGGGAAGGAGAAGAAGGAGGACAAAAGCUUGGGCUUGUCAACAAUGUCGAACGAACCAGAGGCGAAGUUGUGUUGGUGUCGGUGCCGAUGCCAAUGCCAAUGCCAAUGCCAGUGUUGUUGCUAGUGUCAGUGCUGGUGUUGUUCUUCGGGGAGGAAGACGACAUGGAAGCCCAUGCCAUGCCUUCUCUCUCUCUCUCAAUUUGGGGAUUUAGGGCUUUGACUUGAGGGAAAGACGCCAAACUGAGUCGUUUUGUUGUUUAGAUACUGACUAUACUCUCCGACGAGCCACAUCAGUUUCAAAAAAAAAAAAUUAAAAAAAAGUAUCACGUUAGAUUUCUAGUCAAUCAGAUUGACGUUGGUACUAAAAUGAUCGUUUUUUAAAAUUUUUGGCACUUAGGUAAUCCAAAAUAAACUUUUGGCAACAAAGUGAGCGCCGUACAUAACUUUUGACACUUCUAAUGUACUUAACCCCACAAAUAGCAUGACACACCACAUGCUAAGUAGAAGCUUUGAAAAGAUAUAGUGGACUAUGUGGCCAAUAACGAUGCCCACAUCAAUGAACACCUAAACCAUCAAAAUAGAUAGAUAUACAUAAAAACACAAUCAUCUUAGUAGAAUGCACGUAUCAAGGGAGACGAUUAAAAUAAUCAUCCUGGUAAUGCUACUCAACAGCAACCUCUGUCAUCCAACUUCUUCCAGGAGAAAGGUGGCAACAGGAUAAAUAGCAUCUUCACAAAAUCAAUUGUCAUAGUCCACAAGAACUUUUCAUCGGAAAAGUUGAUACUAACAUUCUCAAAAAUUCGAGGGCUUUAAAGGAGGAUAAUCUCAAUGCCACAGGCAUGUCAAGAGAUUUGGAUUCCAAUAACACAUAAGAGUACGUGGCGGACAAACAAGGUUGGGUGAAGGAGAUUUUGUCACAUGCUUGCACAUUGACAACUUCGCCGUUGCAGUUUUCAGGGAUAUUGACGAGCUUCUUGAUGUAGGCAUACCGAAGCACGCCCUACUCAAAGUUGGAUAUCUUAACAAGGACAAGCCUUGCAUCGGCCAAGAGCCAUGGAUGAGCUAGGCUUGCAAUGAAACCAGAUCUCGAGGCAUGACUCUAGUUCAAUUCUGGAUGGGCAACGACCACGAAAAAUAACAUUACAAUGCAUGGUCCAAUGAUGGGUCCUCAUCAUUAUAGCUUAGGAGACAAACCAAAGCAAUGAAUAGUGAAGGAAACGGUCACAACUUUUGUGGGAAGUGUAAAAGAGAAUGCAAAAAACAUGAUUUUUUUUUCUUCUGUAUGCGAGUGAUUAUUGCUUUUUAUUUUUAUUUUCACUUUUUUUUUUCCAUUUGGUUGGAAAUGAGUAGUUCUCCUGAUGACUAUUUUGGACGGGUUGGACGGAAUUGAGCGAAGUAAUUGCACAUUAUCCCAAAGAGGUUUUCCAAAAUUAAGGCAUCCAUGGGUCAUGAAUUAUACCUCUGUCCAUUACAUCCACCAAUCACCGUCCCAUACAAAUUUUUAAGACAUUGGAGUGGAAACUUCUCCUCUUCAAGUCUUCUCAACAUCUUCAAAUAACCUCGAUGGUACGAUUCCGGAGACUCUUAGCUGGCUAAGAAAUCUAAAAGUGCUCAUUCUCAACAUGAAUAAAUUUGUCGGUACGAUUCCCAUCUCAAUCUUCAAUAUAUCCACUCUAACAAUUCUUUCUGCGGGUGAAAGCUAAUUAGAGGGGACUAAAAACUAGUUCAGUUAAAGUUUAGAUUCAAAUGAUGGGGUGUGACUACUCAAAAUCUUAUCUGUGUUGUGAUAUUUAUUUGAUAGCCUGGUAGAAUGAAAUUUGGAUUUAGCUUACAGGGUUCUUGUUUGGGGACUCAAUAAUGAAGCCAUGUAUAUUCAUUACCCAACAUCAUAUCGGGUUUAUUUUCUUGCACUUUACCUGUAUCGCAUUAAUUAUGAUUAGUUACUUAUUGAUUGUACAUCCAUACAUGGACAUCAUUUAGUGGUUCAUGGUAAUAAAAUGGGAAUAUUUUCGAAAAGAUUGAUAAGUAGUACUAAAAAGGUGUUCAUUAAAUAAUUAGCGUAACCAAGCCCCGACCUUAGAGCAAUGGUUCGUAGCAAGUGAAGCUCACAAGCCCCUUCCAAACCACUAAGUCAAAUCGGAUGGCCCUAUUUCAUCAAUGUUUAUAGUAUAAUCAUUAUUUACUUGAAUUUAACUCGCUCUUUGCGAGGGUUAUUCGAUAAAUCAAUGACAAAACAGGAUGUACAAAACAUUUAAGCAUAAACACAAUUUAAUAUUAACAUAUUAUUGUAGAAGGGCUAAAAUAGGAUUAAAGAGGUUCUACUAUUGUUCAUGUUUUCUAUAAGAUUCACAGAAACUAAAAAAUUAUGGGAUAUAUUAUGAAAAAACUGAAAAGGGUACAUUUAUUAUACAAUCAUAUGUCUGGAAUCGCUCUCUUUAUGUUUCAUUUCAUUGAUCAUGGUGUGUAGGUACUUGAGUGAUUGCAAUUGUUUUGAAUGAAUGACCUACUUUGGUUCACUUUAUUUGGAUUAACAAAGUAUUAAUUUCAUGUUGGAUUUUGAUUCGAAAAAAAGGCAUAUAUAUCUUGUGUGUGGAUGAGGAUGUUAGUAAUUAAUUUUAUUAAUAAUUAUUAUUUUUUAAUUAGGCUUCCAAUAUUGGCAAGCUCGAGCUUUUAAUUUGCAAGAUGCUUGAGUAGCUCAAGUUAAAGCUUGACUAGAUAACAUUUCUCAAACAAUCAUCAAUCCAAGCUCAAACAACUCAUGAAUAAUUUGACUCAGUUUCACUUAUAGUAGACCUUCGUAUGUGCUCCUUGUGAGAGGAAUAGAGUACACACCGGGUGUAAGUAAUAAUUUUCUCAAAUCGAUUAUCUUGACCUCCCCCUUCUCAUGUAAGAAGGGUAAUUAUCAAGGCAAUCCUAGUGGUUUAAUAAUUUUCAGCACUUAAUGUGGUUAUUAAACACCCCCUACUUACAUCCCAAAAAGUAAAAGUUACCUCUAAAAAUAAAAAUAAAAAGAAAGAGGGAAAAUUUCGAAUGCCAUUCACAACUGGUUUGAUUCGAAUGUAACUUAUGUGGACUUAUUCCUAUUAAACGAAAAUGCUACCAAUAUCUAUGAUGGAAAUGUGAAAUAAGUUGAUGCUAUUAUUGUUUAGGGGCUUCGCAAUAAAUAAUUAAAUUAAGUCGCAAAAAAUAGGUGUUAAUAAUGACCUCAUUUAUAUUUUUUUCCCCAAUUCAGUCCUUGAAGAAAUUAUUUUCAAGGCAUAUAAAAGCACGCCAGCAGCAUAAGGCUUCAAAUAAUACUGAGAGAUGUCACAUUUAGCAUUUCUCGUCAUAUUCCAAUCAGACCUCUUAACAAAACUACCCAUUUCCAUGAGAUGAAAAGAUUUUAAAACUCAAUUACAUUUUUUAUAAGUUUGAUGAUAUCAAUUACACUUUACUUAUAAGUUUUGGGACUUCUCAAUGUAAAAGAAAUGAAUUUAUUAAUAAUUAUUGGCGAUGCUAUAUAUAUACUAUGAUGAAAUAUUUGGUACAAUAUUGUCGCCGUAAAUCAGAAAAAUGAACUUCUGGCGAGUGGUAGAUGAACCAAUUACCUCUCUCCCCUGUAAGUACUCUUAUCUCUCUUUCUCUAGAAGUAGUUUGGUGAUGCUAAUUUCGAAUGACUCGAGAAAAGAAGUUGUUAUUUGGAGUUCAUCGCGCUCUGCUCCGGUUCGAUAAGAGUGGUUUUUUUUUUUUUUUCGGUCCUUUGUUUUUAUUACCCGCUGAAUUUGGCCAUGUGAUUUAUUUCUUGAUUGCUUAAUUUUAUUUUGGAUUUAAGCUAAUAAUCCAUUUUGGGUAAGGGGGAAGCAAGCAAAAUUGAAGUCCUUGCUGAUGGCGCCAUCUUUCAAUAGUUUCUUCAUCUUUCCUAUUUGACAUCCUAUCCUCUGUUUUUCUUGCACCAAAAUUGAAAUUUCAGAAGUAGACAUGAACAAACCAGAGAGUUCUUUAAUGAUAGGCUUCCCUUUUUUUUUGGCCUGUUUCAAAACAAAAUUUCAAAACGAAACAGUCAAGUAAACGAGGAAUACCAAGACAUCUUUACUUGGUCAUAUGCCGAUGUGCCGGGUUUAGAUCUCGAUAUCGUGGAAUACGCACUACCUCUCAAUCCAGACAUUCCAUCUAAGAAAUAGAAGCUCAGGAGGACGAAGACACAAGGGAAUAUAGAAGGAUAGAUUAACAGUGCAUGUGUGUUGUUAUAUGUAUCGUUGUAGCAUAGUCACAAAUUUCAAUGACUGAAUAAGAGAGAAUUCUCAUGUCAUUGAAAAUUAACCGUUGAGAAAUGCUUUGUAUCAUUGGAAGGAUAAACGGACUAACAAGGGGGCCUCAAACCGCGGGCUCCUCCGGCAGGGUAUGGAUUUUCCGGCGAGAAGUUCAAGGCCGACUCAGAUGAUGCUAUCUACGCCACCCAAAAUUCAAAGAUAAUGACGAUGUCUGGGACAAUACAUCAAUAUAAGAACGAAUUGAACACACAUCAAAGAUCCUAAACAUCGGUUUUAUAGAGUUAAAUUCGUCGAGGCAUUUCAUCGAGCAUUUUAUAUGCAAGUUCGAAAACGAUUUCUCAGCUUGAUUUCCAAGUGAUUCGGGGCCAAAUUAUGUUGUAAUUAUGCUUAAAUCAACACUAUUUGCAGCUAUCAGGUCCCAGAUUGUCGCGAUUUACUUAUUAACUCGCCGAUCGAGGUCGGGUUCUCAAAAGCAGGGGCGAGGCAGAGUAUGCUCGAGAAAGAAGAAACUCACCUUACCUGGCCGAGACCGAUAGCAGAAGAUCAAGGUGACCGAACUCCACAAAGUCGUCGAUCGGCGGAGAGUUUCAGCGAGAGAAUCUACGUCACUCGGCCGUGAAAAGAUACGGCAACCGGCGACCGGAAUAAAACUCGAAGCUAUUUCCGGCCAAACUCAACUCUGGAUUGGACGGUUCUUUGGGGUUUCGCGAGUUUAAGCCUCCUAGAAGGACUCGGGCUUUGCUUCGGUCACUCAGUUGUUCUCUUUUUUCUCGCUCACAGACACUUCUGGCGCUCAUCCACAGUCGUCUGUGUCCUCCUUGCGUCACAGGCGCUCUUCUCACCAAAAUGCGCGCGCAAAGGAGGAGGAGGGCUAAGGGGCCGGGCUUGGAGGAAGCAAAAUGGGUUGAGAAGGGGAGAAGAGAACAAAGGAAAAGGGUUGGGCUGGAAUAAAAUAGGGAAAACAAGAGGCAAAUUGGGCCAAGUCAUGGGUUAAAGCCCGAGUGGGCCGGAAAUCUUAUAAAGCAACCGGGCCAGGCAUAAUUGGCCCUCCUGAAUUUUUUUUUUACUUUUGUAAUCUAUUUUUGUUGUUAUCUUUCUUCUUUUUCUUCUCUUUUUUUUUUUUUACUAUUUUUGCAAAAUGGACAGAUGCCUAAAUGGCCAACAAAAAUUCGAGUGUCAACACCGAUGGAUUGUUUUGCAUUUUUUUUUUUUUUUUUUUUUUGAGAUGAGUGGUGCUUUUGAAUAGCUCUGUAGUUAUUUAUGCAAACACAACAGGGUAAAGUGAGAGAUAGAACCGAGAAGCCCAUGGCAAUUGAGGUUGAGGUGGAAGUUGAAUGGCACAUAUGUCACUUGUUACUCUUUGAAAAUUGUUGAAUACCAGGGGAUGUGAUCCUGCAGCUUGAAGGCAUAAUUUGAACGCAAGUGAACCCAUUAGAACAAUCAUAGCAUCUUGUCUAUUACGCACGUGCUGAUGGAUUCAACAUGACUAUAAGUUGAACAUUAGAGUCAAUUUGCAAGGAGUAUGUCGUCAUUACCAAAGGUAGCUGUAAUUUUAAUUGCUACAUAGUUCCACUCCCCGGCAUUAUGAAGUUUUUUGGGUAAAGUCUCUCCUAUUCUUGUAGGAUGGGAAUGACAUUGUAUGAUCAUCACAUCUUGAGACUCAAAAUCUAGUUAUUGAUGAUUAUCGUCAAUGUUGACCCAAAAUUGCGGUUCUUGAAUGAGGUUUCUUUCGAUAUUUCUCGGCAUAUUCCGCUAAGGAACUUCCCUCACCCCCUCUGUUUUGUGCACGCUGCGCAUGCUUGCUAAUGUACGUCCCCCAUCGGUGCACUGUUGUGCGUGAGGGGAAUGACAGGUGGGAGUUUGGAAAUUCUGAUUUUUGUUUGACUUUAAACUCCCAGUUAGUUUAUCAAAUGAUAGUAAUAGUAAUUGUAAAGAUGAUCAUAAUAAUUUGGAAAUAAAGCAAAGUACUAAGAUCCAUCUUGCUUUCUUUUAUGAUAUUGCUAAUCAUGUUUUUCGUACAUAAGUGGCUUGACUAUAAAGACAAAACACAUUAGCCUCGUCAUGUUCGUGAAGUGAAAAUGAAACCUCGUUGUCCAAUAAGACUAGCAGAACUAACCAUCAUUCAUCUGUUGAGUUGGUCAAAUGGACAGAAAUUUUGUGCUUCGAUAAGCACCGAUUUUUGGUCAUAUGUAAAUACUUACUUGGCCGAAUUGGUAUACGCAAAAUCUAGUUUAAAAUACCACUUAAUGGUAACAAAAAAGAAAAUCAGUGUGCAACGAAUAGAAAGCCAAUUCAGGCCUUCCAAUCAAAUUUUGAAUUAAGUUUCUUUGUUUCUGAUGAAGUUUCGAGAUUAUUUUCUUUUUGCUAUUAAAUCAACAGCUCAAUGUAGGUUUUUUCUUAUUUUUGGAUGACUCAAGAACAUGAUACAUAAUUGGUACGACUCACAUGUGGCCUCCAGGUGCUGAGCUCCCAACCAAAUAAAUCCCCAAACUAAGCUAAAUCUACAAAAUCUCCCAAUGAACAUUCAACCUACUUCAAAAGCAAUAAAGCAUCACAAAACACUAGGGCCGAUUUUCAAACGGCAAUCAUGGGAUAGUUUCUUCCUUUGCUUGCUCCCACUGUUUCCUUCCGAUUUUCAAAAGGCAAUCAUGGGAUAGUUUCUUCCUUUUCUUGCUCCCACUGUUGCCUUUAAAUGAUCUUGAUAGUAUUUGAACCUUCAUAAAUUUUAUGGAUAAUGAUACAUAUAAUCCCCAAAUUUUGACUCAAUGUGCAAUAUGAUCCUUAAACUUUUAAUGUAUUCAAUAUAAUCCUGAACUUUAACUCAAUGUGCGAUACGAUUCUUGAACUUUUAAAUUGUUCAAUAUGUCUAUAAAAAGUUAAAGGACCAUUUGUCUCAUGAACAGCAGCACUUUGUAAUUCUUGAACCAGUGAUGAAAACUGUAAUUUUGCGUGCAUGUAAAGAACUUAAACAUGGUGACGUUGCAACAAGUUUGAAGUUGCCACAGAGCACAAUAAGGUAAACUUAAUAGCAAAAGUAAAGCAAAGCCAGAACAGAACCAUCCUAAAGCAAGAACAUAAAAAGUGAUACCGAAGUUGUCCAUGACAUAUAUUCCCUCUGCAGCAAAGUAGAAAUUCGAGCAUUCCAUUAUUACUGUGUAAAUUACACGAGCAAUCGACAGAUAAAACUCACAGGUCUUCCAUGAUAUUUAUUUUGACUGAAAGAUGAAGCCAUACAAUCAAACCGCAGCAUGCUUUACUGCAUCGGAGAUCUCUGCAUUUUGCAACUGGUGCUCCAUAGUGAAUUACACAGCAUUUUAUGCAAGAUAUCUCAUGAAGGUACAACCUGAACCAAUUGACAACUCGCGGUGAAAUCAAAUGAAUUCUGGAGUUCUCUGAGUGCAGCGUUGCCAGUCAAAUAUCCUCAAAGCAGUCAUUUCUAUCAUUAGGUAGGCGUUGCCCCUCAGGAAAGAGUGAUCUGCUCAGAAACCAUUUACAGACACAGCUGCCGAUCCAAGUUUCUUCUAUGUGCAUCUUCCAUUCCUCUGCAAGUUACAAUAGUACAUACAAGCUACUGCAUCCAUGAUCUGCUAAUUCAUAGUUAAUUCAUAGUUAAUUCAAAAAAAUCCAAAUGAUUAUAUUUGUCUAUACGUGAAAUGAAGCUCAGAAAGACGCACGCCAUAGAUUUCGAAGUAAAUCUCUCUAAAGGUUCCAAUCUCUCUGUUCAAAACUAGCCAUUCACAUCUUGGCUAGUGGGGAAAGAACACUAAAGAAAUGAUGAUAUCUACAACAGUGCUUCUGCGGUCAUUUGACAUGCACAAACCCUCACCAAAGGCAACAGACAUACUUCUAGCAAGUUGAAGCCCGUGAUGCUAGAAAAGAUUAAUUAAAUAUUGAUCAUUCCUUUCACGAUAACCUCAGUAAAAGUCGCAGUACAUGAUAAACAUGAUGAUACGACCCUAACAUAGAAUGAUGUUGGAAUAUCUCCAUGGAAGUGUGUCAUAAUAAGUACCACAAUGAUGAUCUUGGAAUGCAUUUUAACUGAUCCUGAUCAAAAUCAGCCAGCUCUGGGUUACCACCACCACUAGCACCAACUACUUUGACUUCUGAACCAACCACUCCUUUACUUUCAGCAUCUUUACAAGAAUUGACAUCUGUAGUUACAUCAGAAGCAGCUGAUACACUGUACUUCUGUAACCACCUAUCAGUUUCCCACAGGACAUGCAUGAUGCUCUCACGAGCAGCAUAGCCAUGGCUCUCAAAGGGAAGAACUACAAGGCGACAAAGAGCACCAUGGCCCUUUAAAGCAUUGAAAAAGCGGUCCGACUGCAACAAACACAAAAGCAAAUCAAAGUGGUGAGCAGGUUAGCAAUUUUGCAUUUGUAAUCAGAAAAAUCAAUCAGUGCUGAAAUAAAUCAGUUACAGAGAGAGUAUAAGAGGGUAAAAAAAUACAAAGACACCAACCCAAGAGAAUUGUAUAUGAAAUCAGCACCCUUUUCCUUAAAUAAACCUGAAACUAGACCUGGAAACAUAUAUAUAUAUAUACAUACCUGCAUGGUUAGUGUUCCUGAAUUAUUAUCUUCUUCUCCAUGGAUAAGCAAGAUUGGUUUCUUAAUUUUGUGAGCCGACAUGAAAGGACUCAUCUCCACAUAAGUAUUAGUAGCCUCCCACAAAGUUCUGUCCUCAUUCUAUACAAACAAAGAGGCAGAGGCACAGCGCCCUUUGUCAGCACUCAUUUAUAAGUAAAAGCAACUUCAGAAGGCACAAGGUCAAGUCAAACAAGAAAUACUCUAAGAAUCAAACCAUUGUCCUACCUGAAAACCAAAAGGUGUGAGCGUCCUGUUGUAAGCUCCAGAGCGAGCUACUCCACAACAGAAUAAAUGAGGAGCAUGUGCAAGGAGGUUUGCAGUCAUAAAUGCUCCAUAUGAGUGUCCUCCAAUAGCAAUUUUGUUUGGAUGAGCAACCUUAAUCAGCAAAUGAUAUAAAUGAAACCUGUCAAGAUAAUCUCAUUUACAAGAAUUGUGUGGAUUGAAAAGAGAAGAGGAGCUUACUCCGCGACGAAUGACUUCCUCGACAGCAGCCUCUGCACUUCCAACCAAUUGCUCCACAUACCUGACAAACAAAUUGUGCCAAAACAUAGAUACAUGUAAAUAAUCUAAAGCCAUUAAUAGCACGGUUUUUUGGUUGAAAUCUAGGAGCCUACUUGAGGUGGCUCAGGCUUCUUCACUAUGGCUUUGGACUUUUGGUUUUAGCAUGUGGCUUCUGUUGGAUAGAGCAUUUGGAAGUUUGUCCUAAUCUUUUUGGAACUUUUACUCAAAAGAUGAUAAAAGUGCAGGUAAAACUACACUAAAAUCAACCAUUUCACAUUUAAAAGCACAAUGUUCACAAUUUUCAGAUUCAUUUUCACUUAAAAGCAAAGGCACAGGCCAAAGAGAUACAGGGUAGCAACUUAUUCUACAGAACUUCUCAAGGUUGACCUUUUUACUAGAUUUUAGUGCACCAAAGAAUACACUAUAUGAAAAUAGGAACCUGGAGAAAAAGGAGUGGGGGAUAAAAGCAGCCAAAAAGGCUAUGGAAGAAAGUACCACAAGUAAUCAUUUGCCACAAAGGAGGACAAAGACUAACAAGAAAAAGAAUCCACUAGAAGCAUCUACGAGUUAUGCAUUCAUAGACGUAUAACUUUAAGAAAAUCCUAUCCGGAGAAAAGGACUUCACAGCCAUCUGAUUCUAGCAAGAUAUCUCUAAUACAACUGUCUCUAAAGGCCUAUACUUUCUUGCCAAGAAAUGGCUUUUGUUAGCUUAUCAUACAGAGAAAACUCUCGAACAUGAAGAUUAACUUUUUCCAAACAAAAAGCAUUGCAUUACCUAUCAUUUGCCUCUUCUUCACCCUCACCGAUGAUUGGAAUUGUUGGUCCCGAUAAGAUAGCAAACCUAGAAGAGAUAAAACCUAAAACAAUUAUUUACCUCUUCCUAAAUUUGCAUAAAUCAGUUAAUACAGAUGCCUGGAAACUGAAAGAGAAAUGGGAAAGAAGGAAAAUAACAAUGGAAAUCCAUGCCUUCUAGCCAGCCAAAGAAGAGGUGAUGUCGGACCUAUCCCAGCAAAUUCAUUAGGAGAACCACGGACUUGUCCAGCAGCAUCUUUGCUUUUAAAUUCUCCAGGGUAUGACCAGACUAGACAGGGAAGAGGGCCCUCUUUUAAUGGAUCAUAGUUCGGUGGCAGAUAAAGUGUUGCUGUAAGCUGAACCCCAUCCUUCCUCUGAUAUCGUAUCAUCUCUUUGUUGAGAGAGGCCAAUUGAGGAUAUGGAUGAGGAAAAUCUGUAAUUUGGCAUGCUUUCCUAUCUGGCCAGCUCAUAAUGUAGUAUUGUGUAUUUUCAGUUUUUGACUCUUUCGAAGUUAAGAUCUUCAAUUGAUCAAGACUAAUGUCCCCAUCAUUUUGAUCGGACAUUAAAGCAACAACAGUCUCAAAAUACUUUUCUUUGUCACUCUGCCAUAUUCGUUCCUUGCUGCCAGUAUUUCUGAACAAACAUGAGUCAGUAAACAAUGCCAAUGCUUGAGAGCUAAAGGGAGAAAACCUGCUGGAGAAUGGAGUCGUGGACUUACAGAAACUUACAUUUCAAACAAAUCAAGAAAGGGGAUAUUCCCUUCUGGUGUUGCACCACUUCCAUUCAAUAGGACAUAAGUGCCUUCAUCGUUUCCCUUCUUCACUUUUGCAAUGACAUAGGUCCCAGCCGGCGUUCUUCGAAGCAUUGGAGAACCAGGAUCUGAGUACGCAUCUUCAGAUGACCUAUCAAAUAGUAUACGAGGAUUUGUGUCCUUGGAUCCAGGAGAAAUAACCCAGGAUCUUGUCCUCCGUGUCUUGUACCAAGACUCAUAAACCAGAGCCAGUGAAUCAUCGCACCAUGAAACUCCUCUGAACAGAAAUAAAUUAAGACUCCAUAUUACAAUGUUUACAACAUAAGGCACAAGUAGCCAUUUGAGUCUUUUGUGGUGGUUGGCAAAUCAUGUAGCCAUGAUUCAUGACUUGAUCACUUUCAACUAACUAGAUUAAAUACAAGUAAAACAAGAAAAGGAGAGAGGCGUCCAAAUCUCCUGAAGCAACAGGAAGAAAUUAUUGCCAAUAGUACUUCAAUCUCGAGGAAAAACAUUUCGUACCCAUAUCGAAGAUCCACUUUGUGUAAGAUUUCUGGUUGAUCACCUUCAAGUGGUUCAGCUGGUUGUGUGUAAAUUAUAUCUCGUGGAGAAACUUCGACUUUUGCAUCCCCCCCAUCUUGUGUCUCCACCCUAGAUGCCUUAAAUCAAUUAAAAAACAGAUACAUACAGAAAAACUAGUAAUAAUGCGUCAAUUUAUUCUGUCUAAAGUCACACCAUCUAUCACAAUAAUAAACCAAACAUCAGAACAUUCAGAAGAAGGGAUAUUUAGAAAAUUACAAAGAAGUGUUGCUAAUCAAUUUGACACUUUUUAUCCAAGAAAAUCUGUAACCAGUGCUCCUUAAGUGAAAGAAUGAGGACAGUUCGCGGCCCUGAAAUGAACCAUGGACAUUUAAGAACGAAAAGCAUUGACCAAGAACUCUCCUAAUAUGUCGUUGUAUUUAUCUACUGGAUCCCCAUUAUUUACCGUUCUUUGCAGAACUACCAAUCAUCAGAAGCAUACGCAUGAGAAGCAGGCUUCCUGAAAGAAAAGCUGCAAAAAACGUAUGUAUAAUUUUAGACAGCAUGCAGGAACUUCGCAGUCUUAUCACUAAUUUUCACCUUCCCAUGCAAGUGCUAACAGUAAAUGACUAAUGCAAUUUUAUAUGCCCUUACAUUUCUUCAAAAAAUACAUCGAUACUCACCACCAAAAGUAAGAUCUGAAUCUUUAUCAUCAAACUGACACAAAAAAUACACAGAAAAGGAACAGAACAAAACAUUAAAGAUUUUCAGACAAUUACCAAUAUAGGGUAGAAGGUUUAUCAGCUCUCCACUGGAUUGAGCGCAUCCCUUUGCGCACACUAUUGAAUGCAAUUGGGAUGUCUUCUGCAAGGGCCAAAUCACAAAGUUCUCUGACAAAUUGUCCAUUAGCAGUCCAUACAUCUACUUUCUUGGGAAAUCUUCCACAAGGUACAAUGAAAGAGUAUGGCCUGUGAAUUGAGGUUAUCAAAAGGUAUUUCCCAUCUGGAGAGGGGUCAAUUGAGGUAUAUACAGCCGGUGGACCAAUUUCCUUAGCUUUUCCAUCCAAAGUAACCAAAAGAAGUUGAGACGUGGCAUAGUAAUCAAAUAAAUCUUCGUCAUAUUCAUCCUUCAGCAGGUCUUGAAAUGUUCUAACCUGAAUGACACUCUUCUGCUCGUUAGACUGGAUUUUUGGACCACCAGGAACCAAAGGUUUUCUUGGCGGUUCUCCACGGCCCAAGGGUAUUGUGCAAACUACUAGGGUGGAGUUAUCUAUCCAAACAAAAUUGUCAAAAACGGCAUUUAGGCGUAUGUCAGGUGACUCAAACAACGGUCUGGCUUUCCCCGUUUCCACAUCAGCAACCCAAAGCUGAAGCUUACUACUACUAUUGUCCUCCUCAUCAAAUCGGAUGCUGAAGGACAAAUGUCUACCAUCAUUUGACCAGGUGACAAAGUUGAUCUUUGCACCAUCAGGAAACCCAUGUACUUCUUUUUCUGGCCCUAAUUUACCAUCAGGCAAUAAUUGAUGAAUCCCUAUACCAGUAUAAAAUGACAUCCGACUCCUGGUGUUGCACUUUCCAUCAAUACGGAUGCCAGCCAGUUUCUCUUCCGGUCUUGCAAGCUCAGCUAAAGGUGGUAAAGCUCUCCGUCUCAAAAACAGAAUUUUAUCCCUUUGUGGGGAGAACGACAAUGCGGGAAGUGGCGGAGCAUCAACUAUAUCUCUAAUUUCUGGUGGAGGAAGACGAUAUGCACCACCCAGAGCUGAACCUGCAUUCAGUAAUUCAUAAUGAGUAUUCUGCUACUGGAAAUUGUGCAACAACAACAAUCCCAAAAAAUUAAAUCCAAGAUCGGUCGAGUGUAUGCUGGGGAAAGUUGUGUCUUCCAAAUAUUGAACACAUAGGGCUAAAACGCAAACAAUUAGUUUCACGGGAAAACUUCAGUCUGCCAACGGAAAAUCAGAGAGUUGAAGCAAGCAUUGGUCCACCCUUCGACAGAGAGUUUUUUUUUUUUAAGUACUUCUCAUUGAUGAAUGCAAACAAACAAGCUCAACAGACUAUGAGGCAACACUUUUUCAGUAUAAGUGACCUACUCGUAAUUCAAUAUUUAACAGGAGCGACUGGAAUUAACUAUUUUAACCUCUCAGACAGAGACAGCGUAAAACUCAAACUCUAUGAAACGACUGGAAAUGAGAACCGCAACUGGUGAUAAGCUAGCACACAAGAAAAACUGUCUACGCCGUACUGAUCAGUAUCCAUCCGAGAGACAAGACAUCGGAAGCCUCGCUUGAACCUGCUCCAGAAAAGUUAAUCGCCGAACGCCCCUAUUUUCUUUCCAUCUUGGCUAACUCCCCUCCGCAUAAAUCUCCGCCGUCAAAACCUACAAGACUCUAGUCCACCUGCGAUUCACUCUCAUCGCACGCACCUACUCCGAGAACAAUCGAUCGCCAGAGCACACAACCCACCCGAACACAGCAAAACAAAGCAAACGGACGGGGACACGUCGGCUACCUUCGUCCUCGUAAUAGCCGAGACCGGAAUCGUCCGCGGCGGCGCCGGAAGCGGAGCCAUUGCCGCCGCCGCUGCUCUCGGCGGCCGCCGCGGCGGCGGCGGAGGCGACGGGGACCAGGCCGCGGAGCGGCGAGGAGGAGGUCAUGAUCGUCCGGGACGGCGCGGCCGGGCGAGUUCUCAGGCGGCCGGGCGCACGGGGCGGCGAGGGCCUGCAGAGCCUCGAGGAGGAGGGAGGAGGAGAGAGAGGGAAGAGAGAGAGGACGGAGAGGCGAUGGAGGUGGCAGACUUUGGGAACACGCAUCAUUUCAAUGGGCGUGGGAUCGAUGGGAUUUAGAAGGAGGACUGGUCCAUGUCCAUCGUCUUCGCCUUUCGUCCUCGCUGUUGGAAAAACUAAAAAAAAAAGGGGUGGUUGCAGUGUGGGAUCAGGCGCAGGGUAUCCAGUCCACAAAGCGCGAGCCGAAUAAAGGAUGCAUCUGUCUUCCCAUCGAAAUGAAAAAGUGGAAAAUGGAAGACGGGGGAAUGUUAUCUUUUCAUUUCGAACGGGGGUGUUCCGGUGCACCUCGGCGUAGCAUUCUUCCGUGUUGCUUGGUAAUGGUAUGAAAAGGUCUCGCAUAGACUGGGGCCCGCAUGUUCAAGGGUUACCAUUGGUGGUGCUCAUUAGAGGUGAGCCGUACUACCAUCGUUUCAGGUUCCAGGUUUCGCAAUGGAACUCACCUCGUCAAAAUCGGUUCCCAAAUUUCGAAAUCUAAAAUUUAUGUCAAGUAUCCUGAAAUCUAAAACAUGCUCAUCAUGUUAAUCAAUUCCAUGUCUAUCUAGUAAUAUAUUUUCCGGUAAGUGAUGUCUUUUUCUAAAUUUAUUAUAUUUGUCACGAUAGUAACCAUAUCAAUCGAAAGACUGGGAGAGACAAGUGAUAGGAUUAGUUUACCCAUCUCACACUUAAAAUUGUGUAAACAAUAAAAGUGAAUCAAUAACUCUAUAAAUAGAAAUCUCUAAUUCUUUUUAUAGGAAGACGUCUCGCCAUCAAUCCCCGAAUACAAGAUCACCGUUCAUUUAUCGAUAAUAAAUCAAUGCUAAGGUUCGUGCAUUACCUUGUUUAUGCAUAUGAAGGGCUCUCUUUCAAGCAUCAAAUACAAGGAGUUAGUGCUUUCAAGUUUCUAGUCAAUAUCUCUUUUAUUUUCUUCCUUUUUUUUAAUUCUUAGAUAACACAAUAACAAAAAUUUCAUAUGGCAAAAAUAACAAUCCAUAGAAUAUGGACGAUCAAUUCCCGAUUCAGUUCUUACUUAAGAAUUGAAAACCAAACAGUUAAAAUGUUGAUUCUACUUUUUUUAGGAAUAGAAAACCGAAUCAGUUCAGUCCGAUUUUCCGUUCAACUCCAGACCCGUACUUAUCUCUAGUAUGAGUCCCCAUAGAUAGAAUCUAGUAAUAACUUCUCCUUCGUAGAGCCACAAAUGCACUGAGAUUGUGAUAGCAACUGUGCAUGGCCUUUACCCCAAAAACAAAAAAGAACAUAUUUUAAAAGCGCGAUUCUUGAAAAAUUUUCAAAGGACUUUUUUUUUUUUAAUGUAGCGACGAAAGGUGUUGUGGCUUUAAAUGUUCCUCGAAUAAAUUUUCCAAAAAGAUACAGCGCCCUUUUCAUAAUUGGAGUUGCUGCGUAAAAGUAGUAUCGGACGCCACGUGAUAUGUUCCGAGCUCGUUUCGACCUUUGACGAACCGAAGCUUUGAGGAAUGAUGUCGUCAUGAUGUCAAGAAUUCCACUUUCAAGGUACGAAGAAUUCGAAGACCACAGAAAGGCCACCCCCUCCUGAUUGGCGUGGUGGGUCUGAGAGAUUUCUAUCUCAUCCUUUUGAAUUAUAUAAUGUUGAGACUUCAUAAAGUGCACAUAAGCCACUUUGAGUGAAGGGCUAACUUCACCGGUUAAAAACUCGAACUUAAUUAUUUCAUGAUACUUAAAAGGUACUUCUAGGAUCACCGAGUAACGAAAGCUAUGUGCUUGUACUCUCAACUUACUAAAAAAGACUAUUGAAGGCAUGUCAACCUAAUUUUCUAUAGAAUUUUGAUUUACCCAAAAUCGAUUUUGUAUAAGUUUAAUCGGUUGUAGUUAUGCAGCGUCAUUAUUGUAUUCCGACGUAUAGUAGCACUUACACCAUGAAGCUAAGUGGUAGCUUCCAAGGAGGUGAUGUGAGGGUGAUGGCGUUGCCAGUGGAAAUAAUUGUUAAACAUCUAAAACAUAUUGCCAUUGUUUCAAUUGCUGCUGAGAAUUUGUACCAAGCACCCCUAAAAUGUCGUUCAAUGUCAAAAUGAGCAAGUAUUCAUUUUCUUCUUAUAUGUACAUAUGACAUAAACAUUGACCAAAGUUACAAGUAAAGUCUCGCAGAUCAACUAAUGAGUAGGGGUGAGCGAUUCUACCUAAAACCUAUCCGUCAAAGCUGCUUCUCAAAUUUUUUGAAUCUAAAACCUACCAUUCAAACUCUGGAACAUAAAACCUACCUUAUCAUAGGUUUCAUGGUCUAUCCAUGAUUAAAAUAUUAGGGUGAAUUAUCACCACUAAUAAUUAUUAUUCACUAUCAUAAUUUACUAACUACAACUUAUAUUUAGACACACGAAAAAUAUAAAACAUUAAUAAAAUAAAAAUCUCAAUACUGGAUUCGUCAGAAAUGAAAGUUCAAAUUAAUGAUUUUAGAUUACAUGUUUAUCAUCAAACGCAACGAAAUACUGCAAGUUGCCCAAAGAUAUAAAACAAGAAAAAUGUAGACUUAUUCUAAAUUCCAUAUGGAACAGGUUUCCUAAUUUUUUGAAUAUUGAACUUAUCCUAUAUACUUGGGAACCGUGUUCCUCUCUACUAAUGAGAUCCAAUGGCACAUGUUUUGAUCAAGCUUAUUUUAAGAGUUUUGCAGCCAUCCUCUCUUGAAUUGCAAAUCAAGACUCAAGUACUUGAAAAUUCUUCACAUAUCCUACUCAGACUUCACUCAUUAUGUAUCCUCUGCAUCUAAAACUCUCAAUUUAAAUUGGAAAGUAGUUGAAAAGACCAAAUUACACCACCUUCAAUUAUCAUAACUCAAUAAAUACGUUACAUUUAUGCCAAGAGCUCAUGAACGCGAGUCUGUGUCAUGCUCGAUAACAUGAACUUAAUUAGACAAGUCACUCGCAACUAAGUCACCAUCGGGGGUAAUUGGUGCUAUAAUGGGUUGCCAAACUCACGGUUCAAUUUGUUUUAUCCAAAAAAAAAUCAAAAUUUUAUAAUAUUAUCUUAAUGUUGUAUCGUUUCACUAUAAAACGUUGGUGAGGUGAUUAUAUCAUUGUUUCUCUAUGCCAAAAAUUAUGAUUUGACUAUUUAUAAGUGCAAAAGUGUUUUCUUUAAGACCAAUUGAAAAUCGGUUCAAUCCGAGAAACAACCUAUUCUAAGUUUUUAGAAUUUGGAGUCAGACUAAUUUGAUUUUUUUUUUUUUUUGGGGGUCAUAAUAUUCGAUCUAAUUGUCAAGUUGAAAGUCUGGUGCUCACACAAUGGUGCCUUUUGCGUAUGGACUACGCCCAUCCUACAAAUUAUAUGCAACGUGUAAAACCGGGUGCAAUGAUUAUCCACCCGUGGGUGCAAUGUUCCCAUAAAAUAUCUGGCCUCGCUACCACGUGGCAGCCCGCGAUUGGCUCCAACUCGAUAAGAAAUGUGUGUUCACCAAUCGCCUGGAAAAGCCCCAUUUAAAUCCUUUUCGCGUCAUCAAAUCUCUUCUGCGAUCUUCAUUCCGUCGUGCCUUCAUCUCCAAAAUCCACUGGAAAAUCAUGGCGACUCUCACCGGCAUGAACAUCUCCUCCCCUAGACUCGCGGCCAGGCCGCUCCGCUCGUCCAGUCCUCAGCCGCAGAGCCUCGGCUUCCCGCGGCUGAGCCGCCGCACCCCCCUGCGGACGAGGCUGGUGGCGGCGGCGGCGCCGGAGCAGAUAGAGGAGAAGGUGGCGGAGAGCAUAAAGGAGGCGGAGGAGACGUGCUCGGAGAACCCGGUGAGCGGGGAGUGCGCGGCGGCGUGGGACGAGGUGGAGGAGCUGAGCGCGGCGGCGAGCCACGCGCGGGACCGGAAGAAGGAGUCGGACCCGCUCGAGAGCUUCUGCAAGGACAACCCGGAGACCGACGAGUGCCGCACUUACGAUAAUUAGAAGUUUAUAAAUUUUCAGAUAAUAUUCCGGUCGAUUUUAUUUUCUUAUGAAUACUUUCUUUUUGGUGGAAUGGACCUUUUUCCUUCUUCUUCUUUUUUUAAUCUUUUUUUAUUUGUUGAAGCUUUAAUGGGUUUACUGUGGCUUUGUGUAAAAUUAAGAAGCGCAUGCAAUAUGUGGGGGUGUAAGCUAUGGUUGGUUUUCUGAUGCAAAAUAACAAAUUAUGUUUUCUUUUCUGUUUAGCAUUUUAGUAUUUUGCCAUCUAUUGUCGUGAAAUUAGCAUGAAAUAUUGAUUUUUCUUCCUUCUGAAAAUUACUAGCAAAUAAGUACACGAGAUAUUCUAUGUAUUUAUUUAUUGAAGAUGUUAAGAUUUUGUUGCGUAAGGGUUGUUUGUAAGAUAUAAAAGUUUAAAUUUUGGGAUUAGAAAAUAUUGAAAAUAAAAUGAAUGACUAACUUACAAGUAUGUCAAAUGAGGUAGUAUAGAUUAGUUAAUCCAGGAGAUCAUGCGUGCCAAAGGACAAGGAGAUUGCGGUUCCUUAAAAAUAGGAAGUCAUUUUUAUCUCUUGUAAUAGCAAUGGAUGAUUUAGUUUGGGUGUCAUUAGGUUUCAAUUUUAGUAUUAUUUUUGUUAAGAAAGGUAAUUUUAUCCAACUUGUUAUCGUUUUUCUAUUAGAUGGGUCUCGAUUAAAAAUAGUAAGUGGCUACCCUAAAUAUUAAAAAUUUACCUAACAUCAUCAUAUUCACUAGACGACACUUGUCGUGUCUAGAUGCCAGGUAUGCUCUUCAUUUGUUUUAUCGUUCUGUGAUAUCUUUCAUUCAUAAGCUAUAUGUUUAAAAUAGAUAUUAAUUAGCUAAAUAAUCGGUGACACCAAAUAUUAAAUAUUUACCUAACAUCAUCAUACUAUAAAGUUACUUUCGAUUCCGAGUAAUAAAAGCAGCACGCUCUCUCUCUCUCUCGCUCUCUCUCACAGUCUCACUAACACAAUGGUCGAGGUGUCGGACUUCGUCGAGGCCCUGGCCGGAAAGUGGACGAUAGGCCCAUGGUUGCUCAUGGUCGCGACCAACUGUCGUUGCCAUGGAGGGAGGGAGAAGGGCUGUGGCGACUAAGGGGACUGUGGGGACCGCGCUCCUGAAUUCGAGCAAUCUUCGAGACAGAGUCUAGGCUCGAAUUUGUCCACGAAGGAUGCGAUUUUCUUCGCCGCCGCGGCUACCGAAGUGGAAUCUUGACGCGAAACCGCGUCGAAAGUCCCACCACCAAGUACGAUCUAGUCUCUCCGCGAUGGAUCCUCCCGAUCCGCAGAAGGAGUCGGAGUCGGAGUCGAAGUUUGCCAUCGCCCUUUGCUCGCGACCACCCCACUCUCAAGACUCUCCAGCCCGCGAUCGUAACUCGUUCCUACCAAAAUCUCAAGGGGGAUUUGGCUACCAUUGUCUCUCUCGUCUAGCCGUCCGUGUCUCUCCCUCUUCCCUCGAGCUUGCUCUAUGAUCAUGGGACAGCGUGCGGGCCGAUGCUUUGCUUCGCUCCUCCGGUCGUAAGCGCUCCUCCGGUCGUAAGCCCUCUCUCCAUAGUCCGAUUUCAGAGAGAGGAGCGCCUCCCCCCACCCCACCUCCCAAAAAAUAAAAAAAUGAACCGCGCCUGGCCUUUUCUCUGGCCGGUCAUCGGCCAUAGACCCCAUGUCGGGCCAGAGUAAGAAGGAAAGGAAAAAAGAGAGAAAAAAAGAAGGAAAAAUAGGGAAGUUCCCAAAUUUGGUAGUUUGUUAGGGGCGUUGGCGGAUGAUAUGCCCACUUAACAUUUUGGAUCAUCAUCUCUACUGGGUGACUCAUUCAUCAUCGAAUGAGGAGAGACUUGUGUCUGUGGAGACAUACAUGACAUUCAUGAUCUAAUCUCCUUAAAAUAUGCUUGAUGAUUGUGCAUUUGUCCAAGCUUUUAAUGUGAUGAUACCUACAAAGGACAUAUAUGUUUCACUAGGGGAGCUCCAAAUAUGCAAAUGUCAACUUUAAUUGCAAAAUCUUUCUACUUGGAGGGCUUACUAGCCCUCACUAGCCAAAAUGAAAAGGGAAAAAAAUAAUACUUAAAAAGAAUUAAAAUUUGUCCAUGUCAACACUAGUUGCGCCUUAUAAGACGACCAAUUUUCAAAUAAGCAAAUUGGACUCAAUUGGCAUAAAUAUAAAAGAUCUAUGACUAAAUUGAUUUAUUUAAAAGUUUAUGAUUGAAUUGAUACUAAUAUAAUAGGUUUAAAACUUUUUUAGUACUUUUUCCUUAAUUGUCACUUCAAUCUUUUUGAUACAAUACAAAAUUGUUAAUAAGUAAAAAUCAUAAAAAUAAACAUCAAAUUUGAAAAACAAAAAAUAGAGAAACUGAUGAAGUCUACAAAGGGACAAGAGCUUGGGAAUGGGGGAAUAAUGGGGGUUUAUAUGUCGACCUGAUAAGGGCUAGCGAUCCUUGUCGAGAUUCUAGCGAGGGCAGUGAGCCCUCACACAAUAGCAGUUGCAACAACCAUCACCAUCAUUGGGCCCCGACAAGGGUCUAUCCAGCAAAUUGUGCCCCGCUGUUGCGAGGGGCCUUACCUCCGUCCAUCUCUAGGUGAGUUGCCCUCGUGGAUGCCAAGCCGCCCCCUUAUUCCCCCUAACAUUUUUUAACUUUUCUGAAAUCAUUUCAAUCCUUUUUUUUUCAAUAUUUAUGCUAUUUCGUCUAUUUUCUUUUUCCUUUUCCUUUUUAGCAUUAGUCUUUUUGACGCGGUGCCUAUUCGACACCGAGAGAGAAAGAGUAAAUUCUCAUUUUUGGGUCCACCGUUGGAUGUCUUUAUGACUAUCUUAGGAUGGUUUGACCGUCCAAUUGACUCAAUGAGAGAAAGAAACUCUCACUCUUCACCUUAUAUAAACUUAAUCUGAGCAACAUUUUUUUGCCUCUCUUUCUUUUUCCACUUUUUCCAAGAAGCUUCGGGGAAGCAUCUCGGAUCAUUAGUUUCGUCAUAUUCAAUGUCUGAAAAGGAAACUCCACUGCUUCUUCCAAUACCCGUCCUUGUUUUCCUUUGAAAUGAAGUCGCUCUCUUGAGGAAACCCUCUUCGAAGUAGUACUCAGGGCUGUCAAAUGAUUGGUUCGAAAAUGGUUAAGCCCUAAUUGAUCCAUGUAAUUUUGAUAAAAAAAUGACCUAUAUAACUUUUUUUUUUUUGACUCGUUUAUAUGAAACACAAAGUUAAUGUCCCAAUAUAGAGCCAUAAUUUUGAGCGACGGAAGUGAAAUUUUCACUGUUAUGCAUCUUAAUUUUUAAUUAAUAUUUGUUACUAAUAGGUAUUUCAAAUGAAGUCAACUCAAUAAAUUAGUAAAGAAAAAUUACAGAAGACUAAAAAAAAUUAACUCAACUAAAAGAGAAUAAGUACUCAAAGUACAUUUAUUUUAAAAUAAAAGUAAGAGUACAAAAAUUGCCAAAACAUCAUUACAAAUGAUAAAUUGAAGAAGUAAGAAUGGCAAAAAUUGAUACACGCCUUCCUUACAAAGAGUGCUGAGGCCCUUUCAAUCUUUUCUUUUAAUUGGGGAGAGGGGAGAAGCAACAACACUUAGACCGCCAACUUUUUUGAAUUUAGUGCAUUUAAAAUUCUAAACUCAUUUGGUGCCUUGAUCUUUUGUACAUUUUGGUCAUUCCCCAAUACUACCUAUUCCUACCGAAAAAGAAAAUUCUAAACUCAUGGCAGGAGUGUAACUGAAUUUUAAAAUUUUAGAUAAUAUAAAUCAAAAUUGAAGAUGCUUAAAAUAUUACUCUAGUACAAAUCAUCAAUAUGUGUUGUGGUGAAUGCUAAGUGCGAAACAAAACUUGGAAGUGUGAUACCAUUCAUUGAUUGAGUAGAAUCACUUAGGCAUUAUUAUUUUAUUUUUUUGGGUCGAAAUUUAAGCAACAUUUCAAUAAGCGGAUUUGAUAAUUGUAAUGUCUCGGUAAUCAUUUCAUAAAAUAUGUGAUGGAUGGAAAGCGUAAAAAAGAAGUAAAAAAAAAGAAUAAAUGCACACAACAAUUUUUUUCAUAGUGUGAUUGUUUAGAUAUAAUUGAACUUGUUGACCAAGAGCAACAAAAGUUUCCACCAAGUGUCCGGCUUGCGACGCUAAUGCUACUACAUGGCUACUACAUGUUCUCUUUCAGAGAAAAUAUUAAAUAUACAAGUUGUGUCAGCGCAACAAAUUGAAAAUUUAUCCAUUGAGCGAGAUGUGUCCUUAAAAAGCACACUUGAAAUGAGAACGCUCAUGUUUCAAAAUGGCACAUAAGUCGCUCUUUCGAGAAACCCUCUUCCUAAGUAGCACUUGGGCUGUUGAAUGGUGGAUUGGUUUGAAAAUAAUUAGACCCUAAUUGACCCAUGUGAUUUUGAUUAAAAAAAAAUCAGUAUAACUCAUUUUUACUCAUUUAUAUGAAAUACAAACCUAAUGUUCUAUAAUAGCGCCACAAUUUUGAGUGGUGGAAGUGAAAUUUUCACUAGUAUGCAUCUAAAUUUUUUAAUUGAUAUUUGUUACUAACAGGUAUUUCAAAUAAAGUCAACCCAAUAAAUUUUCUAUUUUUUAAUUAAUAUUUGUUACAAUAGGUAUUUUAAAUAAAGUCGACUCAAUAAAUUUUCUUAUUUUUUAAUUAAUAUUUGUUACAAAUAGGUAUUUCAAAUGAGUCAACUCAAUAAGUUAGUAAAAAAAUUACAGAAAACCGAAAAAACUAACUCAACCAAAAUAGAAUAAGUACUCAAAGUACCUUUAUUUUAAAAUAUAAGUAAGAGUGCACAAAUUGCCAAAACAUCAUUACAACUGAUAAAUCGAAGAAUUAAAAAUGGAAAAAAAAAUUGAUACACCCCUUCCAUACAAAGAGUGCUCAGACCGUCAACUCUUAUAUUGAGAUUAGUGCAUUUAAAAUUCUAAACUCAUGGCAAGAGUGUAACUGAAUUUUAAAAUUGUAGAUAAUAUAAUCAAAUCUGAAAAUUUACCAAAUUGAAGCAAUCAAAAUUUAAGAUACUUAAAAUAUUACUCUAAUAUAAAUCAUCAAUAUGUGCUGUGUUGAAUGCUAAACGAGAAAUUUCCAACCAAAAAACAAAAAAAGCUAGAUGAGAAACAAAUCCUUGAUGUGCAGUAUCACUUAUUGAUUGUGUAGAAUCACUUAGGCAACAUUUUUUUUUUUUUGGGUCGAAACUUAGGCAACAUUUCAAUAAGCGGAUUUGAUAGUUACAACGAUCUCUAUAAUUGUUUCAUCAAUAUGUGAUGGAUGGAAAGUGAAAAAAAAAAAAA
rnacentral:lncRNA from 1 species